GGAGGUCAGGGGCUGUUUCCGGAAGGAGCAGCUGCAGAUCCUUGCUGGCGAAGAUUUGUGUGGGUUUCCUGGCGGAUCCUGGGGUUCCCGGGGCUCCGAGGCCGUGGGUCCUCCGCCGUGGUGUUCGCUGGUCGACUCCAUAUUCAGUAGUAAGUACCUUUCCUCUCAGGUGUUGUUUUAGGAAAGAAAACAGCUGGAGUUAAUCCACCAUUUAUAAAGCAGCUCUAGAAUAAGAUGUAGGCACACGUGUGGUGAGUUUGAGCCCUUAGAACACCCAGAUGUGGGAUUAAAAACAGCCGUCCAACGUCCGAUUUAAGAGUUUUUUUUAGUUCAAUAUUUUGAUAUACAUUAAAAUGAAUUUAGUAUAUUUUAAUAUCCAGUUUCAAUAAGCAGAGUUUGUUUUUUUUUUUAAGAAUACAUUAAGUAUUGAGAUUUCAUAUUCUGAGGUUCACAGUUAGCCUAAAGAACCUUUUCACUCCAGGCCGUUGGGAGGAAAAAGUACAAAGCAAGGAGAGUUUGCAUUUUCUGUUUUCUUCCCUCUUGUCUUUCACCUUCAGGAAUGAACCUUUUACCCAGGCCCUGACCCAGUCUGGUUGCUGGUGCAUAGCUUUCUCUUCUUGCCUUUAAGAAAUACUUUUGUCCUAUUCCACAGGAUUCAGUGCUCUGCUCUCCUGAUGGUUCUGAUUAAGGGUAUUUUCUCUUCCUCCUGAGCUCUAGCCAGCAUACCCUGUUUGAAAUGGGGUUAUUCGCAUGCUUGGUCAUCUCCCUCCGCCAGCAGCCAUGCAAAAGGCACCAUGCAAAAGUCUUUAAUGUUUGUACACAGAGAAAGGAUCAGAAGUCACCUGAAAAAAAGAUAAAAUUUAGUGGGAUAAAGUGAGCUACAAUGUAAAAGUGAGAAAUUCCCAUUUGGUUGUCAUAGCUGCACAGCCCUGCUGGGUUUCCACACAAGAGGAGUGGAGACUAUGGCCAACAUUUCAUGGUAAAUACACCAUUCUAUGUAAUUCAGUGGAUGUUAUUUUAUCCUACAGAACAGCUCCAACUGCCUGAGACAUCACAGAUAUCAGAUUAAUUUUUCUCCAUGUUACCACCAUUCCUGUUAUUGUUACUAUUUCUCUCGAAGUUAAAGCGGAAUAAUUCCAAGAGAUCAACACAUCAUUUUGUCUUUGUUGAAUCACAUCUUUAAAUAUAUUUUGGGUUUUCCUUUUUUGUGUUUGUGUGGUUUUGUUAGUUUAUUUUUAGCAUUAAUAUGGCUUAGGAGAAAAACAUAAAGGCAUCUCAGACUAUUUUCAAAGAACUAACGUAAUUACGUAAAAUUAAUUUUAAAUGGGGAAGUAAGGAUGAGAGGAGGGAUGUUUUAUAGAGGUGUGUUGGUGAAGUGACCUUUGUCUCUAGCUGAAAUGAAAAGAAAUUUCUUUAUGCAGAAUUUGAAUUUUAGCUGCAUUCUUCUUUGCUCUCUUCUUAAUUUUGUUUAGUUCAUCUUGAAAAUUAAAUUUUACCAAUGGAACAUUGAUAUAGAUGGUUUGUAAGAGUUCUAACUAGAAAAAGUUUGACAUAGUUUCAGUGUAUGACUGGCAUAAGACAACCCUGUGGAAGUCUUGAGUUCAUGCUAGGAGGAAACCAAGGGGCACUGAACAUGACAGAGGAGGGCUGUCUGCAGUUCCUGAAACAGUUCCUCUCAGCCAUGUGGUUGGCAACAUGGUAACUCAUGACAAAAACAAAAAUAACCUAGUACAACUCCAAAAUAAUCAACCUGAACAAAAUAAAUUUCAAAUCCCUGAAAAUGUUCAAAGUCAUACUGUUGUUAAUAAACUAAAAAUAUAGUUGCUCUUUCCUUGAAAAUUAUUGUGCUUUUUGCCACACUCUGAAUUUAUACACUAUCACAUCUUGCAGGAGAGGUGAGAGAUUUGGCCAAUGCCGUCUACUUAAUUAAUCAAUUGAGAAAGAAAGAGCAAAGUACAGUCCCUUCCUCAAAUCAUUGGCACAACUCAAGCAAACCAUAAAUCCCAAGAUAUGGAGCAUGCUUUACGUGCGUUCCUACAAGCUAAAUGUACCUUGUUAGAUGAAGCCAGUUGUUUACAUGCAUUACAGCCUAUUCUCUUAUUUACAUGCAUAUUUUCAAACUUUGUAUUUUAAGAUAAUUAGAGACUUAUGUCAUAUUUUACAUGAAUUUUUUAAAGAAAUAUGUAGAAUUUUAAAAGUUUUUUUUUUUUUUUUUAAAGAAACUUUCUAGGGUUUCCUCAUCAUUCAUGUUGUUGGAAUCAAAGAAUAUUUUUUUCCAGAAUCCUAUAUAGAGAUAGAAUCUUAUUAGGAAGGAUGAUAAGACACUUAACAAAUAAAAUAUACUCCCAACCCACAUAUAAUAAUACUUCCUUAUUAAUUUCCUUAUAACUAAAGAAUUAAGAGUAUGUACAUCUCAUAGGUCAUUGUGUUUAGAACUAGAGUUAUCAUAAAAUAUUUAUAAUAAAAUAAUAGUCAUGGAUAUGCCUUCGAUGUUCUGUUUAUUUGAUGAAAUGACAUAUACUUAUAUCCUUUAAAAGUUUCAUGCCCAAACACAGCAAUUUCUGGAACACUCAGAUUCUUAUAUUGUCUAAAUUUUUGUAGAGUAGCACACAACAGGUGCUAAAGAAGCCAUACAGGAAAUAAAAAGCAAAACUGAAAAUGACUGAUAAAUCUGUUUCUAUCACAUUUUUACCAAGUACUUUACAAUACAAGCAUGCAGGAUUUUAAAUCUUUAGUGUCGCACAUUCUAUACUGCAGUAAUACAAGAUAAAGAAGGCAGAGUUUGAAUCUCAGCUCUGGGACACAUGGAGUGAUUUAAAAGAAUCAUUUGACCAUGGCUCUUGUUUGGCGAUGGGGUUGAUAUUGGCAUUUGCAGCAGGGUAAUUCUUCUUUGUCAACUCUGCCUGAAAAUUUGCAGUGUGUUUACUGUCCCUUGUUCCUGAUAUCAAAGGUCAAUACCUUCCUCCAUUUAUCUUGACACCAAUCCCUUCUCCUGAACUCUCACAUUUUGUAAUGACUUGGGUAGGAGUUAGGAAUGGGUGGGGGGUAUCACCUCAGUUGAGAAUCUAUUUUAAACCAUUGUCUAACUCUUAUUUCUUUAUUUAUAAAUGAGCUAUUUAGUUAAAAAAUAACUUCUUUUGUUUUGAAUUUCUCACAUUCCCCACAGCUUAUAAUAUAAAGUAAAAUCAAGUUGAUGACUCUUUUAGGGUUCUUUGUGCUGCUGUUGACAUUCUCUGUUUUUAUUUUCCUUGACCCACAAGUAUGAUCUUUAUGUAUGAUAGAUUUUGGGGGGUGUUAUGGUUUGGGUAUGAGGUGUUCCCCCCCACUCCUCUGAACUACACAGAAAAUUUCAGAGGUAAAAUGAUUAGAUAAUGAGAGCUACAACCUCACUGGUCCCUUCUGUUGAAGUGGAUUAGUAGGGUGGUAACUGUAGCAGAUGGGCAUGACGAGGAGGUGGUCACUGGUUGACGGGCUGGAAGGCUCACCUUCCCCACAGCCCCUUCCCCUGGGUCUUCCUCUGUUUCCUGGCUGUUGUGAGCCAAGGCACUGUCUUCUGCUGUGCUCCUUCGUGAUGAGGCUCUGCCUCUCCUCCAUUCAGAGCAGUGCAACUAGCUGGCCCUGAACUGAAUCUCUGAAAUCAGGAGCCCAACUCCUCUUAAGUUGCACUGAUCCAGUGUUUCGGUCGCAGCAAUGAAAAGCUGACCAACACAGAGGGCACUGGGAAGGAAGGGGGUGAACAGCCAGGGCAGAGCUCACAGCAGGACAGGACAAUCAGAUUCUUUCUCUGCCAUGUUCAUUCAUCAAAAUCCUCCUUAAUUUUCAAAGCACAAUAAAAAUGCUAACUCUGAACUCUUUCAUUUUCUUUCUAUGUGCCCCUCUUUUAGUAAACUUAUACUUAGGUAUUUACUGUGAAACUUGCAGACAGAUUCAUCACAGUGUAUAGUAAUCAGUCUCAACAUAACAAGGCUAAUUUUAAUAAGAAUAAAUACCAAAACUUUCCUGGUGUAUAUAAGAAAAUAACUUCAUAGAAUCAUGUAUUUAUCAGCAGCAUAUCUUUAAAAGACUAUGAAAAAUUAUUAAAAACUUCUAUAAGAUGUAGCAGUCAAAAGGAAACUAACUGUGGCUAUGAUUAUAGGGUGUUUUAAAAAGAGAACCAGCAAAAUAUUCCUGAGAUUUUGCUCUUCCCUCACUUGGAGUCCUGGGGCUUCUUUCUCUGCCUCAGAUUCUUUGUGAGCCAAUCAUACAGAAGCAAAGACUGCUAAGAGCAGAAUUCGGAAUAAGCUGAAGCUGAUCUUUGGUGGUCGCCUUUGAUCUCUCUCUUUUUGAUUUCGCAUCCACUUUCUCUUGUGAAAUUUAAUUUAGUCUUAUUUGAGGACAUUCCCACUCGAUUUGUGACUGAGCUCCACCUUUUUCAAUGCAAGGCAGGCUGGGUGGAAUGCAUAAACAUAGGUGACCUUUACCUAAAGAUGAAAUCGUGAGAGACGCGUGAUGUUGAAAGGAUUCAUGUGUGCGCAGAUGGCAGGUCCCAGCGUCUCCAGCCGCUGCCACCACCUCAUUUCCUCCUGCCACAUCGCUUUGCUUCAGCGUUCCCUCAUGGUCUUCUUCAGGAUGUUUCAAUUGGCAGGAACAUUUCCAAAUGAAAUCCUUACUAAGGUGAAGUAAAACGAUUUUCUCCUUCAAGGUCUGAAUUUAGGAACCUGUCUUUCCUCAUGACAGCUGAUGACAUCUCCGGUGUCUAGGAACAGAAGGGAGAAUCCAUCUGUUGGCAGGAAGAGGAAAAAAAAAGAUGUAUGCAAGGUGCUGUACAUUUAUAAUUUAUUCCAAACACUCGAGACGGGAAGUGCUUGAGUUGAAGAGGUAAUGCUGAAUUUCUAGUGCAUGUUCUCUAUUAUUGCAAGCAAAAGUCACAUUUAUAGGCAACUUAAAGGAUGACACUUUGAAUAGCCAUUUUUCUUUUACAAAGUCAAUUAUAUUUUUUCAAAAAAGUAUAUAAUCCUUAACAUUAAAGCUCAUGACAGGUUGGAAAAAUAGGUUACAGUGCAUAUUAAAAUGAUCACUGCCAUUUAGUCUGUUUCCAUGAUCAUUUUAGAUUCCCUGAUGCAGAAAGAAAAGCAUAUUGAAAUGUGCCCUUUAACUUAGAAUCUUAGUGUAUUUCUUUUUAUAUAUUUGGUGCUUUGAAAAAUAUUAAUUUUGUCUUAGGAAAAUAUGUGCCUACCAGGCUCAUGAAAGUGACUGAAUCAGCAGAGUAACCUGUCUGACUUCUACAUGUCACAAGUUGAUCACUACCUAAAAAACUGGCUCUUGUGAGCUGCCUGGGUUGGAUCAUUUUAAUGAUGUGUUACAAAAUAUAUCUGAGCUGCUAUAAACAAUCUCUUCUUUGUUUAAGAGAAAGUAAAAGAAAACCAACAAGAGCAAGUAAAAUGCUUCCUGUUGCAAAGUGGUCGCCCUCGAAAGCAGUUCAUGUCCUUCUCUCAAAGCCCCUCUUUACUCAUCACCAGCAGUCGCCCACACCCAUGGCAGGGUGUGUGAGUGUGUGCACACAUGUCCAUCUCCUCUUCAUGGUUAUUGAAAUCAUCUGAUAUAUUUCCAUACAUGUUGGGAAAAAUACGAUUCUUCAAGACUGGUCAUUUAUGUUUUAAUGUAUAGAAACAAAUGGUCUGAAAAGACUUAGAAAGCAUGGAAACCUUUACCUUGUCAAGUUUGAUGUAGUAAAAACAGCUAUGAGCAUUCUUUAGUCCUAGUUCCCAGCUCCCUUGUGAAAAUCAUUUAGUGGACAUAAAUGAAACCUAUCAUAUAUGUUCGGUAGAGUUCAUGUAAGUGAGUGUGUGCCUGGCACAUUGCAGGUGCCCAGCAACAGUGGUGGUUUAACCCUGACUUGAAACUAAUCUGUUGUUCACUAUGAGAAUCAAAAUAGUAGUUCAAAAGCCUAUCAUCAUUCAGACCUCAACCAACCAUAUAUAACUUCAAAAAGGAAACUAAAGCAAAGAGUCUUUAAUGGAAGAAAGACACUCAAAACAAGAUUCAAGUGAAUCACUGGGGAUUUUGAAUAUGUACUUUUUCAUACAAUUGCUCUGGAUCAAUGUUGUGAUGGUUUGGUGUUGAACUUGUCCUUUCUUGGUCAAAGUUCUCCCUUGAAUAAUGGAAACCAAUAGACUGAGGCUUAAAUUUUCUCUUUCUCUUUCUACCCCCCAGCUUAGCACAGUAAUGAGAUAGAUAGGAGGAAAACUUAAUUAACAGAGAAAAGCUGUAUGAUUUGCCUGGAUUAAAAUGCAGCUGCAUGGAGGGGGAGGCACACUUUCUAAUUCAUGGAAAAGAGUCACUUGCUUUAAUUUAAAUGAGAUAAAAAGCCGCAUGUUUCUUAUUCAUUCACUGAAGUUUCUGUUGGAUCCCAUAGUCUCUGAAUAGGCAUUAUUUUCACACAGGAUCAAACUUGAGAUUCAAAAAAAUAGGAGUCAUUGACUUCGUGUUUCUUUUUUAUGGAUGAGACCAUUGAAAUAUCAAGACAGAAGGUGUUUUUUUUUUUUCUUAAUGGGAAGAAAUUUAGGGGAUCCCUUUUCCUCUGGAACCAAUUGAGGCUAGUAUGCAUUCAAGACUUACGCUUAGAAGGCACACUCUGAUUGAGCCAGUACGGUUGUUGGAGAUCCUCUAUGACAUCCAGUUUUUUCCUAACUUGUAGUGAGUCUGUUGAAUUGGGUGCCCAAGGCCAAAGUUGAACAGGAGGCAUACAGUGCACACAGAGGGAAUCCUGUGGGAAUAGACCUCAGCAGUUUACUCUGCCUGAUAGAUUCCAGAACGUGGGGGUCACACCCUUCACCAGGAACUGGAGCCGCGAUUAACAACAACUUCACAUAUUCUAGAGUUUUCCUAGAGCUCACGAUUGCCACUGCAGCACCAGUUCUGGGGAAGCAACACUCAUGCACACACACAACACACACACAUGGACACACAACACAUGCACACUCACAAGAAACACAUAUGCACACACAUACACAACACUUGCACACACAUACACAAACAUACGCUCUGGAGUCCCUUCUCCAUCUCAUUGCCUGCCUCUAGGCUCAUCCAAAUGGCUAGGCCUCUCAGCCUGCUGGACAUAGGCGUCCAACUGGGCAGCUGUCCCAGAGGGCAGCUUGCUUUCCCUGGAUCUCAGAACUCUGUUUCAGUCAAAGUUAGCUAAGUAACUAAUGUGUGCUAGUGCUGUGUCUAUUCAAAGGAACGAACAGAUUGAAGCUUCUAGCAGAAGACAGGGAUGCCCUCUUUCACCACUUCUAUUUAACAUAGUUCUUGAAACACUAGCCAGAGCAAUUAGAUGAAAGAAAUUAAAGAGAUACGGAUAGGUAAAGAAGAACACAAAUUAGCAGUAUUUAUGGAUGAUAUGUUUCUAUACCUAGAAGACCCCAAAAAUUCCACCAGAAAACUUCUGGAACUAGUAAGUGAAUUCAGCAAAGUAGCAGGAUACAAAAAUCAACACCCAUAAAUCAAAGGUAUUUCUGUAUAUCAGUGACAAAUCCUAGCAGCUGUGGCUCUCAGCAGUUGCUUUCAAGUUGAACCCCUCAAACUUAAAGUAUUUGGAAUAGCCUGGGGAUCUUGCUGCAAAGCAGGUCCGAUGCACUGAGUCCUGGGUACAGGUUGAGAGUCUGCUAAGAGUCUGAUAAGCUCCCAGGUGAAGCCGACUGCUGAUCCUCAGACAACAGUUUACAGUGGUUUUUGAAAGAACUUAGCACAACCUUGGAAUACCUUAUGUCCAGUCCUUGCUGAGAAAACUUGUAGAUGUACCGUGCCAAACAGUUAUUUGUACAGUGUUCAUUUGUUCUUUCAUUCUUGUCUUUUUUUGGGGGGUGGGGGUGGGGGGUUGACCCAGGGGUGCCAUAUCACUGGGCUACAUUCCCAGCCCUUUUUAUUUUUUAAUCUUGAGUCAGGGUCUUGCUACGUUCUGGAGGCAGGCCUUAAUCUUGCAAUCCUUCUGCCUCAGCCUUUCCGGGUAGCUUAACUGUUGGAAGCAAUUCUAUACAACACCACUUGUAGAUGUUUCUUGUUUUCACUCAAGCCUUGCUGUGCUUGGGAGAAAGAGGGCACAGGUCUCCUGAGCCUUUCCUGCCUCAGUAUAAGUCCUCAAGUUACCCAGGGAUGCUCUGCCUGAUGUUGGAGUGCAAAGUCCUUUGAGCACACCUAGAAGUGUAAAGUCAGACAGCUUGUUGAUGCAGCCCCUGCCUUGCACACCACUCUUAUUCAGACACAGUUGGCAAGGGAGUACCAGGCCCAGUGAGUCCUUGGAAUGACAUUGAGCUCUUCAUGCAUGUUUUACCCAGCAGGCUUUUUAAAAUUUUUUUAUUUUUUUUUUUAUUUUAAUGGUGACUGUUUUCCUCAAGAGCUAUAGAAAACAGUGUCCAGCACUAGUUGUCAGGGUCAGUGCUCCAGUGUCAUCUUCUAAUCUUCUAAAUGAAUUGCUGGCCCACUCUUGAUGGAGGAUAAGACAGCCUCUUCCUCUGUUGUAGCCCACCCCCAGCCUUAUUAUCAUCUCCUGACUUCCAGGUCUCUCUUCCACAUUUACUGAGCCUCUGCGCCUAGCUUGUGACUUUCUCUUCUGUGUGUGUUGACACUAUCCUUCACAGACCUUCACAUAUCCGUCUGUUGGCCCCUGUGUUUCCACAACAGUUUCUCAACUAACCAUUACUCUCUGUGAGUGCCCUGGAAUUAGGAGUUUUGUUAAUCUCAACAAAGAUGAUUUCACAGAGGAUGUCAUGAUUCUCAAUCCUGCUAAUGGACUGCAUGCUUCUCUUCUGUCCUUCCUGUCCUUGCAUCUCUGCAUGAGUUCCACUUCCACCCAAGGUCUGCAGCUUCACUUGAACCCAGUGCCUGCCUGGAGCUCACCAGUUUUUCUCUCUCCUCUGUCUUUAUUUUCUCCAGCAUAUAAACUUCCUUAAACAUUUGUAAGUAAAAAUUUUCUCUGACAAUUUGGUUUUUAUUUCUCUUCUUCAUUCAAUGGCAAAAUAACUAGAAAGAACAUUCUGAACUUGAGACUUCCAAUUUAACUCUCAUUCAGUUUCUCAUCUAAUGAAGGUGGUUUCUGCAUCCAUCAUCCUACAGAGUCAGAUCUUGCCAAGAUUAUCAAAGAUGCAAGCUGCUACAUGCAAGGGGCAUUUUUAAGUCAUGACCUUGAACUUUCUGAGGAGUCAGCUGUGUAAAUUAUAUCUCCAUUUUUUUUAAUUUCUUCACUGUCUUCUGGUUUGUCACUUCUUCCUGAAUUUUCUUUUCUGUCUCUGGCCAUGUUAGUAUUGUCUGACUUUACAUAACCAAGAGCUUCCAGUACUGUAAUGUGGUAAAAGUAGCUUAUAGUUGUGUCAGAGAUCCCCUUGCCACCGAAUGGACUGUGGGACUGGGGCAGAAGUAGGUCUUGGAGAGUUGACUCUGGUCAUUUUCUCUGUGUGCUAUUAUAUUGAUUCUCAAUCUCUACAACAUUAUGCUGAUGUCAAGUACCUGGGUUAAGAUCUUUGUGAAGUCCACCUCUCUUGCCACUAUGCUGCCUGCCCCAGUUGACCUUCCUAUCUCCAUGCCUACACGACUUCCGUAUCUAGUUCUGAGCUGUACUCCAGAGUUGCAAAGGCAACUGCUGCUUUUCCAAAACAACUUGUUGAUUUCUCAGACAACGCAGAUCUGAUGUUUUCAAAAUGUCCCAUGCUGAACUUAUUAUCCUUUAUUCCCCAAAUGGAUCUUUUGGCUUCAGUUUGCAUAUUGAAGAAUGAUCCAGGCUUCUGACAAGUUUCAAAAGCACAUACCGGUGGUCAUGCUUUCUACUGUUUUCUUGCUAGCUGUCCUAUCUUGAUGUUAAAGUGCUGCUCUGACUUCUGAUCACCUCUUACCUCUUAACACAGGUCUUAGUAGGUCAGCAUUAGUUUAAAGAUCUCCCAGAAACUCCUAACAUAGAUCUUAUUAGGUUAGCAUUAGCUUAAAUAUCUCCCAGAAACUCUCAGUUGUCAUUAGGAGAUAUCCAAGAUCAUCUUGACGAUGCACAAGGCCCUUGAUGGUUCCGACCCCCAUUAGAUCAGCUUUAUUUAUCAUGCUUUCCCUUUCCCAGUAUCACAUAAACUCUCUCACCUCCAGCCAUACUAAACUCUUUGCAAAAUGUAUCAUGUUUUCUAAUUUUCAUUUUUUCUCUCUUGCAUAUUCUUUCACUGAUUCGAAAAAUCAUCUUUAUUUUUUAUGAUGUACCUAAAGUGUUCUUCAACUUGUCAUUCUUUUAAAAUCUUCUGUAGCCUCCUUAGUAUCCUGAACUUCACUUUACCAAAGUAUUUGCCACUCUAUGUUGUGAUUGUUCAUUUCCACGGCUUUCCAGUCGCACUGUGAUGCCUAGAUGGCAGGAAUCCUGUCUAAUUCAUUGGUAUAUCUCUUCCUUUUAUCAUAAUAUCAAGUGCUAUGGGUAGAAAUUCAUUCCCCUAAUAGGUUAAUUGAAGUUGUAACUGCAAGUACCAGUAUGUAUUCUUAUUUGGUAAUAGGAUCUUUGCAAAUUUAAACAAGUUAAGAUGAGGUCACUGUGGACGGCCCCAAUAUACCGUGACUAGAUUAUAUUCUCCAUAUAAAGAGAGGAAAGGUGGACAGACACAUAGGAAGACAGUGGGAAGGCAUGCAGGGAGAACCUUGUGGUGAUGAAGGCAGAGAUGGGAGUUUAGGCGUGUGCAAGGUAAGGAGCACCAGAAGCUGCCCACGAGUCACCAGAAUCCAGAAAAGGCAAGGGAGGAUUUCCCUACAGGGAUCAGAAGGAAGAUGGUCCUGCUGACACCUUGACUUCAAACUUCUAACUGCCAGCACUUUGAGACAGUACAUUUCAGUUUGUGGCUCUUGGUUACAGGAGCAGUAAGAAACUAACAUGGAGCAAUAACACACAAAACAAGUACUCAAAGUACUAAAUGUGUGGGGCCUUUGCUUCUAUAAUUUGGUCAGAAGAAGACGUGACAUUCUUGCUUUUAAAAUGCAGGUGAUGGUUGAAAUACAAGACACUUAGAUAGUAAAUAUUAAAAAAUGUUAUUUAUUAUUAUUGCUCUCAUUAUCCCACAUGGCAUUUGAAAAGGCACUGUCACACCAGGGCAUUUGGCAUGAGGCACCAGAUCCCAGCCCUCAUACCCCAUCCAGGCUUCCUGCUUGGCUCACUGUUUAGAGCUAGACACACACUGGCAGCCGUGACAGGGCUUGGCUUUGGGCCACGCUUUUUUCCCUAAGAAUGAGCCUCUGAAAUUGUGAUGUAAGGAACAGAAAACAAACAAAAUAAAAUGCAUGAUUCAUUUUAGAUAAAUACAUUAUUGGCUUUAUUAGCAGCAUCAUAAGAAUGACCUUUUUCUCUAAGUAAACUUGUCAAGAAAAACCCAAAUUUCAGAAAAUAAAUGUCCUUCACAUCACAUAAGAAUACUGAUUUUAUAAAACGUUGCUAUAGAAAAUAGUUUUUUGAAGUUGAAUAAAAAUAUGAGUGUAUUUAAAAUUCUUGUCCAUAUACCUAAUCCACAGACAAUGUGAGCACUCUGACCAUGGGUAAGUACUGAAGAACUUGCAGAUUACUCUUUCUGAUUGCUCUCUCUUCAGAGGGACCAUCUCCAACCUUUAAGGAGUGGCUGACCUAAUACUAUGCAGGUAGUUCCCUCGCCCUCACUAGAUCCUGGUCACAUAAUUGAAACUAAUAAUAUAAAAAUUCUAAAUCACAGAUGACAAAUUUAAAAUUCUUGCCACUUUCAAGAAGGCUCAGAAUCACCAGAUUGUCCCUGGUUCUCAUCCGUGCGUGUGAUUAUACUUGAAGGGAUUACUAGGGAGUCCACUUGGGAGGCUGGUCAGUGAGGCCACUAGUACAUCAAGUGAAAAACUGCCAUUCCAUACAGAGUAAGGGUGACCUCGACACCGAGUUUGCUUGUGCUGUGGCUGUGACUGACGUCCUAUCCUGGCAAGUGACACCUCACUAGUCCUGAGGAUUUCAUGCAAUUUCUGGUUCUCUGAACCCCUCUGAGACACAGGAGAGUUCAACACAGGGCGCUCUGUAGACCAUGGUGCUUCUUGAGUGCUUAGAGCUAGUUUUCAGCACCCUAUUUCUUCGUAUUUUCAUAAAGAUAGGGAACAUGGAGAAAAAGAACAGUUCUGAAUUUGUUACUUGCUGUCUAAAGAUACCUUGAGAGGGAGUCAUAAAGAAAAAUGGUGAACAUGGAAGUUGAGAGGAAAGCCCGAAGGACAAUCUUCAUUGAAAAAAGAGGUUAGACUGUUGGUUGUCCAUUGCUGAAGAUGUCCUGUGACUUGGAAUAGCCUAGCUCUGGAAGUCUUCAUGGAGUGCUGUAAAAUACUGUUACACAACCAAGUUUGCUGGAGUGAAAAAGGUAAGGACAAAUGAGAAGAAAGGAAAAUUAAAGAUAAAAUGUCUUUCCCUUGGUUGGUCUUGGGGGUAGGGGCAGCCCAUGAAGGUACUGGUGAUUUGGGCCACCAGGAGAGGGUGCUUGAGACAGAAAAGAGGUCAGGCCAACAAUUAGCAAGUUCUAGUUGGUCUCACAUGACUCUUUUCCUUAUGUUCACACCAGCACUGUUUUCAGUUUCCAUUUCAAGGUCCGCAACAUUAAAGAAUGGUGGAAGGGAUCUCAUUCCAAUGGGCAAAAUCAAACUCUACUUUUUUUGAGGCUGGUGGGAAUAUUAUUUUAGGAAUAACUAAGCUGUUAUGAACCAUUUCUGAAUAUCAUGUGAAAAGACUAUUUUUGCAUAAUAUUGUAAGAGAAAUAAAGAUAGUGAUUUGCAGACUGUGCUGCAAAUAAACAAGACAAGCCUCAUGGAAGGGUUGCUGAACCAAGCCAUGAGAGGUGUCUUUUAGGAAAAAGAUAAUCUUUUUAAGGAGGAACAUUCUAUUUCCAGCAUAUAGAAGUAGUAACAAUAGUCACAGUAAGGUUAACUAUAAUAGAUACUUGGCUAUAUUUGAUUUGUGAAGGAUGAAAAUCCCAUAAAUCUGUUCUGUUCUUCUUUACAUACUCAUAUUAAAUUACCACUAAUUAUCAUUAUAUAUAUAUUGAAACUAAAUGUUUAUUCUAAUUUUCACAUAUUCUCAACAUUAAUGAGAAUAAUAUCAAUGAUGAUCUUUCUUAUCAUGUUUACAUAAAAUAAAUUCCCAGAGAAUGGUGGGGAUCAUCAAAUGGCUGGGUGAGGUGGAGGUGACAUUGGCAUGUUGAACUCGAGUGUCUGUCUCAUUGCACCAAAGUCAACACCCUGGGCUCCUACUCACUAAACACCAGGAGGGUGCUUUCCCCCAAUUAUUGGGAAAGUCCAGAUCACCCCCACUCCAGCUCUGAAACAUACAUGUACAUGUACAUUUGCAAACAUUCCCAAUGUGGGUGGUGCUACCCCAGAUUGAGGGACAUAGAUCUAGAAUUUAAAAGUAUAUAUAUUUUUUUUAAGAUAGAAAAGGCAAUUUCCAAGUAGAGAAUUUGUUUUUUUACUCUUUUAAUUUCUCCUCCCCUCCCCUAGCUCAAGUAGUUUGCCAAACAUAGAAAGAAUCCCUACUUGUUGGACAGAAUCCAUCACUGUAACAAAGCAAGAAAAUGUGUGUAGUGUCUGGCGUAGAGCAGGUGUUUCACGAACUCUAGGUUUCCUUCCGGUAUCUGCCCCUUCUUCAAAGAGGAGGGAGCCGAACAAGGAAGCAUUUCACGUUGAGGUAUUUUGAUUAAGCCUUCAUUGUUCAUUUGGAAAAGGUAAGUCAUUUUCUCACCCAGUGGGUCUUCAAAAUAGGUUGUUCACUCCUGCUCAUCACCUCUAUAGACAAGGCAUAAUUUGUUUCAUAUUAUCACAUGGUCCAGUUUUUUGUAGCACAGUUGUGGGCAGAUUUCAACUGUAGGAAUUAGGGACCACUAAAGGAGGCCAUGUGUGACAAGGCGCUGGCACUUUGCUGACUGAUAGGGCCUGCAGUUUUAUUUUUGGAAUGUAGCCUAAAGCUAUUAUGGCUCUGGAUUUUUGACAGGCAUCAUGCAUUGCUAUUUCAGAAGAAAAUUUAACUUUAAAAAUCAAGUAGCCUGAGGGUUUGGAAUCAUACUUACAUUUUUAAUAAGUUGUCAAAAAGUACUUUGCAGUAUUCAUUUGUAACUGGACUACACUCAGCAAAUUUAUAUGUAAACUACUCAACCCCAUGAACAAUUCGUUGCACAAAAAUGGCUAAAGGGCCUGUUAUCGAGUUCAUACCAAGAGAAGUAGGAGGUUCUGAUUCCUGUCUAUUAUUUUUGUACUAGACAGACAUAUAAUAUCCUGAGUAUAUUUUUGUCUAGAAAUAAAUUGAGAUAGGCCCUUUUUUGUUAUUUUUUUUAUUUGAACAAGCAAAUAAAGUUCUCAGAAUAGACUCUUCAAUAAAGCUUAUAAUUACUCAUAAGUCAGAGAGAGAGAGACUGAGAGGAGAAUGCUUUGGUGAGGAUUGAGAGGAUGGGAUCCUUUAGUGACUUAGUCAUCAGCAAAGCAGGCUUCAGGGCUGAUUAUUUGAUUACUGUCAUCUGGUCAGAUACAUUACUAAUGAAAAACAUUGACUGUUCGGUUGACUCCAACAUUGCUCUUGGUCUGGGAAGCACAGGCCACCUGGAUUAAGCCUAGAAGAAAUACAGGUUGGCCUCAUGAAUUCUUUGGAGAUGGAUGUACUACAGGGAAACAAGGGAGAUGCUUUUUAGUCAGAGCCUGUUCAGAGUCUGCAUCUUGAGUGUCAGUUUUCCCAUGUCAAAAAUUCUAGUAAUUAAGAAAAUCAUGAUAAAAGAAAUAGUGCAUGUUUUGUUGUGUUCUUAAGGCAAUUAGACUAAGAAAAUCUGUGAAAAUCAACCUCCAGGAUUGUUUCUGCCUUGGAUAACCUUCCUUUCCUGUUCCUCAGGGCUGGGGUGCAGGGCCAGCAGAGUGGUCUAGUAAACCUGUACACAUUAUUCAGGCUAUUCACGCCAGCAAGCUAUGGGACAAACUAACACCCAUGGUGUGGCGUUUGACUCAUGUUUACCAGAGUUAGUCUGUGUAUAGCAGGCUAGAAAUCAGAACGUGAAAGUCAGCUGUUCUCUGACUAGCUGGAAGAAAUACUUGGGAUAUAUUUAAAGCCUUAUCUAAAAUGCAGAAAUCAUCUUGUACAGUUGUACUGUCGGAAUGCCAAAUGCAUCUUAAAAUGUGAGUGUCUGAGAGCUCAUAGUAGUCAGAUGCCUCACGGCCAUCGGAGAUAUUCUGGAGAGGCACAAUGGAAUUUCAGCCCUAACUGUAUAAGGUGGUUAAAUUUAGCAAGGUGAAUACAGAAUUAAGAUAUUCUAUAGAGUCAUGGAUAAUCUUAGCCCUAAACAAACAUUUCAGACCUUUUUCAGCAGUGGUCCAGGUUGUUUGGAGGAUAAGCUUCGAUUACAUUCUGUUAUCAAAGAUGAGGGAAAGACGAAAAAAUAAUUAGGAAGGGUACUUUGAGAAGUCUUGAGUAACAAUUAGUAUAUAUUUUAGGAUUGUUGACCAGAGGGACAUUAUGAGGACAAUGGCAUCUUCAGAAGAUCCAGCAGUAAUACAAAGUGGAAGACAUAGGUUCAAGAAUCAGUGCAGACUACGUACACCUCUGAUCUUUAUAAUACAAAAUACAAAAGCAAUAGGUAGUGAAGAAUAGAAGUAAAAUCAGCAAAAUGCUGAUGCUUGGGAAUUUCUUCUACUUUUCCCUCUACUUUUGUGUAUGUUUAAAAUUUUACUAUAAUUUGAAAAAAAAAAAUAAAAGUAAUUCUUAAAAUUUUCUCUCUUGGACCUCUCUGAAUAACUGAUGAAGACAGCCGAUACUCAGUUCAGAAAUACACAUUCUAAAAUAUUCAUAUAUAUCUACAAAGAAUCAUACCUCUCCCUCUCCCUUCUUCUCACCCUGGAAUGCAUCCACGUGUCUCAUUUAUAUGGAAAGUUUCUCCAAGUCAGGACUUGGAGAUUUUAGCCCAGGCCUUGGGAUUUUCCGAUAUGGCUCACAGCUCUCAUCCUCGCAGCCUGGCUUUAGUUCGCAUUACUCUAACUUCCUCCUUUGAAGCGCCUCUCUGUGCCACAUGGAACCUUCUCAGGGGUAACAGUGCUUCUUCUCUGUCCUCUGUUUACCAAGUACAGAAAGUCAAGGGCAAGUCAGAAGAAGGAAGCGGCUUAUGAUGCAGUGCCACAGGUCACAGCAUCCCCUCCACCCCCAGCAUUUUCUGAACCCCAUGGUAGGAACUUAGUGGAUGGCUCCUUAGCUGACUGGCCUAAUAUUCAAACCCAGUUGUGUGCAAAGGAAAACUGAUUUGAAAUGACCUAGGGAAGGAAGCAAAACACUAUUGGUUAAAUACUUGGAUCUUGGAGUUUCAAAGACCAAAAUUCAAAAAUUUUGUGUUAUCACCUUUGAGACCUUAAGAAACUGACUUAUUUCCCUGGCCUUUUGUGUGUGUGUGUGUGUGUGUGUGUGUAAACUUUGUGACAUUUAAUUCUUAAUUGUUGAAAAGAUUAAAAUGAGCCAUUAAAUAUGUUUCCUGUAAUUAAUGGUGACUGUGUUGAUGUUUCACAACAUGACUUGGCCAGCUUUCUAGGUAAUACCUCAAACCUCAUUAUUUCACCUAAGCCAAGAUGUCAAGACUAUCGGCAACAUAACAUUAAGCAUGUUUACAUGACACCAUCUACUUUUCAGAACUUGCUUGUCCAUAGGUCACUCUUUAGUGCUGAUUCCACUGAUUUCCCCACCUCUGAACAUAUCCCUGAUUAUCCCCCAGGCUGUCUCCAAUCUUCUUACUCUAUAAAUGAAUCCUCAGGAUCCCAUCUAAUCUCAUGCAUUUAAUUGCUACCCAUUCACCAAUGACCUACCCCCUUUGUUAUCUUUAGUCCCUUAUUAUGUCCUAAGCUUCAGAAUUUUAAAUGCAAAUGACAAAUUUCUAUUUUCAGGAUUGAGAUUGUUACUCCCUCCCUAUCUAUCCCAUUGCUACUAGUGUCACCACUCUUGAUUUUCCAUUGCACUUAAGUCAUCACCAAUCUUCUCUCCCUCAUCACCCAAAUCCAAGGAACUCUUCUGAGUCCUCCUUCUAGUGAUUAUCACCAUCACCUCUCUCUUUUCCUCCUGCUGCCUGCUGCCACUUCCUCACUCGGGGCGUUCUCACCCUCCUCUGAGUCUCUAAACCAUCCUGCUGGCUGGCUUCCCUGACUCCAUUUUUCUCUCUGUACCUAAAGCCAACACUUCUCAACACGUGGCUGCUCUGAAUGUGAAGCCAGCCUCACCUUCCCCUGCUUGCAGGGCAGCUUGGCACACAGUGACCACCACAGUUGUCCUGGCCUCCAUCAUCUGCUCCUCCCAGGCUCAUUUUAUGUUUGGGCAAAACCCAAAAGCCAUGGGUUUCUUUACUUAGGGAGGUUUGGUGUCCCUUUGCCUUGUAUCUUGAUAUUCUGAGAGUAUGAAAUAUUUCCUUUGACUUAUUUUUCUUAUAGUAACUCACCUUCAUAUUGUGAGAUACUUUCUUUCUUCUUUUGCAAACAUUCCCUUCAUUGGCUACAUUAGUUGCAUAACUCUGCCCCUCCAUUGCUCAGCAUCCCUGUGUUGUAAUGCUUGAGGUAUUUCUGUGUUUCCAUUUAAACUAACUCUGCAGGAUCAGACAUUUCAUCCUAGUUACACACUGAAUUCCUGUUAUGUGGCACAUGUUAAGAGCCUCGCAAGUGUUUAUUGUACAAAAUUAAAUAUGGUCUCUGUAAUUACAGUAUGUUUUAAACUAAACCUGGCCCCUAUAAUCAUAGAAUAUUUGAAAAAAUGCAAUAACAGGUCAAAACUUAUGGAAAAUAUGAAAUAAUAAGACUUUUCUAAAUCUAGUCCAUAUGAUCAUCAGCAUUAUUCAACAAGUUUCUUGUAAAAUCAGUUCCCCUGGAAUUUUAUUAUUCCUUUAUCACUAUGAGAAAGCUGGAGUGGUAAGCACAGCAAACAGUGCUCGAAGGCGGUUCCUCCUAGACCCAGUCCUAAAGAGAGAGAGUAGAAGAAUCUGUCCAGGCACAAGAAUUGGGAAAAAAAUAAGCUGUUGGAAAAUCUCUUGAGUUAACAGUAGGCACAUAACCUCUCCCAUCCCUCACCUCUGCCUUUGGCAGACAGAAAAAAACAACAACAGGUUUUUCCAGCUUGAAAGACACCUAACUGUUUAACAUGUAAGAUGGAACAAUUUGGCUAUCCAUUUACUAGGAGGGUUGAAAAGUAAAAGGGGGGUGAAUCUGUAUUUUGAGUAUAUUCUAUUAUUUCAUAAAUUCCCAAAUUUAAAAACUACACAUUAAGUAUGGCAAAAGAUUGUAAUUUUGGGAUUUGUAAAAUUGACUUAUAACUAUAGAAAACAGGACUACAUAUUUGAAACUAGAACCAUAGAAAAUCUGGUAUAUAAAAUUGCUUAUAUUUUUACGUAGAAAGUUCUUUUGUCCUGCAUACUAAAAAAUGUUUUAGAUUCAGUUGGUUCUCUUAAUAUGUAAAAUCGUUAGAAAGUUAAAGAAGUCUGUAAACUACAAAGAUACAUGAUGGAUCAGUAUCUUGAAGUAGUGUCAAUAAUUAAAUAAGAAGACAUGUAUUGACAUUAGGCCCCAGUGAGCUUUAGCUCUUGGGAUGCUGAUGAAUUUAUGGUCAUAAAGAUCCUGCUCAAAAUGAGUGGUCUCAAUCCAGUCCAUCAAUAUGAAGUUGUGCUAUUACUCUUUUCUGUAUUCUAAGAGCAGAAGCUGUGGCUGAUCUGGUGUUGAGAGAUCCUUUCCCACUGGAGAGAAAGUCCAAAUAGCUUAUAGAUGUUCCUCUGUUAGAGUCUGUAAACAAGUCAAAAUAACACCUGGCAUUUUGCCAGGGGAAUGUUAGAGUUCGUAAACAAGUCUGGAUGGUGCCUGGCAAAAUGCCAGAGGGAGUGGUUUGAGAAGUAGCAAAAGCGAGCCAUUAAGUGUGGAGAUUCCUUAUUGGUUGACUGAUGUAUCUAGUUUAUGCUAAUUAGAUAAGCUGUGUGGAAUGUAUAAAUACUGCUCCUGUCCUGCAAUAAAUGGCUCCUACUCCUGCUGUAUCAACGUUCACAAGUUGUUCGUCACCCCCCUGUUAUUUUGCUGCAGCCAGCCUGACUGCGGCAUUCCUCAAAAAGUUUAUCCACAGCUGUGGCAUCUAUGAAGGGAAUCUGUGCUUACUGUGAAGACAGGUUGCCAUGAAGUAUUCUGGCAACCCAGGCUUCUUCCUCUUGAACUGUCUCUGGUGACAAAUCAGGAAAUGUGAUAGGAAAUAACCAGGUCUCAAAAAGUUUAGAAUUAAAAGAAACAGAAUAUUGUUGUUCAUGUUGUUAUUCUCCUUAAGAGCAAAAUAUGCUAACGUCAUGGGGGGAAAAAGUUCGCUAGUAAGAAAUAAGAGAUAGCUAUAAGAAAAGAAAUGAUGGGGCUGCUUAUGUUUUUGAAAAUAAAUCCAUUAUUCCCACCACUUUGUUUUAUAUGUGGGUGAGGUGAGGGGAGCAUUUCAGAAGGGAGAGAGCACAACAUCCUAGCUUUCUUUCUGGCUGAGUCAAGCUCUAAAGGAAUCUUUCGCCAACACAUUAGCUCAUGUCCAAGGCGCUGCUUCCAAAAGGAGCUGCUGGUCAAAACAUUUUGGCAGCAGGUGAUCGUGGCAGCUCAGGGUGUGUGGGUCCCAUGCUUCACCACCUGGGGUAAUCUAAACUAAUCUGACAUGACGGGCAGCUGUCGGCUUUCACCCAGCUCACGGUAAAGAACAAAGAUGAGAAACUAAAGAUUAAAAAUGAACUCACUACAUGAUGCAGUUUGUUUUCCAGGCAUUUUAAAUACUGAGUUUUCAGGAGAUUAGGAUUUUUCAUUUCUACAUUUUCAGAAAUUUUAAUGGACUGUGUCUAUAUAGUAAAUUAACUCCAAUGGACAGUGGUCUGAACGUAUAUUUAGGAUGGAUACAAAAGUUGAUAGGCCUGUAUAUCAGAGACAGGCUCAGGUUUGAAAACUGUUGCUAAGGAAACCUGAGAAUAGAGUCAGAUGGCAAAGAUGAUUUUUUUGUGUGUGGAAAUCUAUCCAGGAUACUGAGUACUUGGGUACUGAGUACUGUAAAGGUAGUAAUAUCAUUUAGACACUCAAUCUAUUUUUAUUUUUUAAUUCAAUUUAGUUCCAUUUGAUAGAACUAUGCUAAACUCAAUAAUCUAUACAAUAUAGAAGUUAGACUAAGUUUUAAGAUCCACUCAAGCCUGAUUAUUCUUCAACUGGCCAUUAAGUAAAGCCCAGUGAGUCUGGGCAAAUGAUCUACUUUUAAACAGAUCUGCAUUCUUUCCCCACGUGCAGGACUCAAUUUGCCUUUGUCAGAGAUGCACUUCCUGUCUGCGGCAGACAAUCUGACAUAUAUGGGCAUUUUUCUCAUUUUCUGUUGAGAAGAUACCAGAAUGUUAAACAUAACACAUUAAAAAGUAGAUUUAGAGCACAGUUUUUUUUUUUUUUCAUGUAGAAUACUAUAGACAUUACAUUGGAAUGGGGAAUUAUACUUGCAGUACUAACUUAUUUAAAUCUUUGAUAUUCCUAAUUUAUUCUUGCAACAGAUAAUAUUGACUAUUGAAAGUACUCCCAAAUGUUGUUAGGUGUUCAUUUGGAAAAGCAGUUCCCUUGUUUAAAGUUUUAACUGUAAUCUAAGAACGCUUUUACUUAUGUGGACAAGGAGAAAGAUACUUUUAUUUCCUAUGAUUUCCCUCCAAAGAAGCAUUGGGUAAAAAACCUGAAGCAUCCAUUUAUUUAAUUGUGGCCUAGUAAAAAUGUCACUUCAGACUUGUGACUCAAAGAUGACUCAUAGACGUCAAUUUUUAACAGUCAUAAUAAAUAUAUCUUUGGCUGAAAACCUGAAAUUUUAUUAUUCAUAUGAGGGAAAGAAAAUUCGAUUUUAUUUACAUAAUCACAACUGCCUUUCUUCUUUUGCUUCUAAGUAACAUUGCUGUCCAACCCACCCUUAUAUUGAACAGGACUUGGAGCAUAAUCCUAAAGUCACUUUAUUUUUAUUUCUUACUAUGUUUUUAAUUUAAGAGCCUAGUUCUUCUCUUGCCCCUACAUGAAAAUGUGCAGAGGUUCUAGAACCUUAUUACAAGAUACUUUUAGGCACAGGAUAAAACUCCACUUCAGAAAAAAUCCCACCCAUUUCAAGAAUCUGAACUGUGAAUUUGAAUUGGUAUGAAGGUGUCUCCUCACUGUGGGUGGAAAAGACCACCAUAGGUUGGAGUUGGUGGGCAUCUUCCUUCUUCUCAGCCUAAAGAGCCUCUCCCCUCAGCUGGUUUCCACAGUGCCUGACCCUAGAGACUGGGAAACAGGAAAGUUAGAGGUAAGCACAGCAGGCAGCCCUUGAAUUAACAAAAUGCCCCUGAGUUGCUGUGAGCACUCAUGGGGCUUGGUAGAUGUUUAAAACCUAUGUGGUCCUGAGAUUGAAUUCUUUGGAAACCUCUGUGUGUUCCCUUCUCAACUCACUCCUACUCAAUUGAUGUUUCACAUUUAGCUCCCUUGAGGAUGGUCAGUGUCCUAGGAAUCCAACUAUAACCUUGACAUACCUCUGCCCCGUGGUCUUCUUGGAUCCUUAGAUAUACAUAAGGGAGGUAUUCAUACAUCCCUUACCCCAGCAGUCUCUACUCUCUCUGCCAGCCCUGUGUAUAUUGCUGAUAUGACUUGAUUAUGUUCUUCUUAAAUUCCCUUGAUCAGCGAACACUGAAUAAGAAGAUACAGGGGCCAUUUAUUUAAAGUCUCUUGUCUUCUUUGGGUUGGGAGAAAUUUACAGCAUGGCUCCUUAGUAAACCUCCUCUUGAUACUCCCAGUUCUCCAGCUCCAAACUCUUUCACAUUCUCCAUGAGUAUGAGGAGUCUAAACUUAUUCUUAACGUUACCCCCAAACAAAGUUUCCCCAAACUUAAUCAAAUGCUGUUUUCAAUGUACCCAUCUGAACCUUUUCAGUUACACAUCCUCUUACAUAAAUAACAUUAAGGUAUAAUACCUCUAUUUAGUCAUGUUAGCAUUAGAGAUAAAUAUGUGUAUUGACUGGCGUCUGAGAACUUAUGAAUACGACUCUCUGAAGCAUUGUUAUACUUGCAAAUAUUUUACAAUACCACUGAAUAUGGUUUUGGUAAAACUAAAAUUGGAGUACAAAAUGAUGAAUCUACAGUUGAUCUUUGAAAUUUCAGGUCAAAAUACCCUAAUUGUAUUUUUCAUUAUCAUUAUCUAAAACUAUUGAACAUUCCUAUUAUCAUAAUAUAAGGAAAGAUGCUUCUUAUUUUAUCUGAGUAUCAAAAAUGUUGUUGGUUAUUUAAAUAUACAUUGAAGGAUGUGCUAGGAGAUAGAUUCUGGGGAAUUCUGGAGCUACAUUAUCCACUGUGAUUAUUACUAGCUUAUGGUAUAUAAAUUCAAAUUGAAAUUAAUUGUAUAUAAAUUCAAAUAUUUCAGUUAAAUGUCCUAGUAGCAUUUCAAAUGCCAAUAGUCAAAAUUGAUUGGAGACCGACACAUUGGACAGGGUGAAUAUAAACAGUUUGCAUCAUUUUCAAAAUGGUUGUAGGGUAGCACUGCUCUAGAAAAAGAUGCAUGAUUAAAUCCAUAUGCAUGGCACCAAGGGGGCCAAGGAGUGCUGUGAGUCACCUAGGGUGGGCACGCAGAAGUAGGGCUCUGGGUUUCCUCCAUAUAAAUGAUUAGGUGUUUUUCCAGACAACACAGCCUGCUUGGGUGAUUUCAAGUGGGAUAUUAUGGAACCAGCUCAGCUGAAUUAUACGGAAAUUAUCUUGAUGUGACUCAAUCUAGACCUAACUGCCUCAAAGAAGCUAAAAGAGAUUCUGAAGAGGCCAGGUGAAGACUUGACAUGCUGCAAAUUGAACUCACUGCCAACUGUUAACACUCAUGGUUGAAAGAAAUCCACUUGCUUUACAAGUGUGAGAUAUUUCCAUUUCUUUUGCUAUAUUCUUAAACUAGAGAUUGAGGUCUGCAGUCGUUUGUUAGGACAAUGAGAUCUGCAGUCAUGAUGUGUGUGUUCUCACUGGAUCUUUACUAAGGGAAAAAUGUUAUGUGACUUUUCUUUUUAAAAUAUAUUUAUUCUUCUUUGCUUUUUAAAAUUGACUUCUUUGUUUCAAAAGAGCAGGAAAGGGUGACAUAAAACGUGGCAAUGAUGAAAAAAUAUAUCCUGUUUGUCUUGUGUGUGUGUGUGUGUGUGUGUGUGUGUUUGCAGAAAACAAAAGGGUAGGACUAUUUUUUUUUCCCUCAAAAUAAAGCAAAUAUCUCUUUGGUCAUCUAUAAUAGGGCAGCGCUAUUUUGAACAGUUUGAUGUCACUUCUGCAUCCCUGGAGGAGACAAAGGGGAAAGUCAGAGGAAAGGGAAAGGCAGCUUUGAUAAGCCCUGCCAGUCACUGGUCCGGAGAGUGAGGCAUCCUGUUAUUACCAUGCCUCCGAAAAACAGUGGAAAAACAUUCAUUGUGAUCAAUGGUAUCCAUUUUUUUUGUUAUUUCACAGUUACCUGCUGUAAUUCCCUAAGUAAUCAAACUAAAUUAGGGCUCUUUUAGUGACAGCUGCAAAACACUAGGUCACUCUGGGUAAAGGUCACUGGAAAAUUUCAGUCUGAGGUGGGGAAAGAAUGGCGACAAGCCAGAAAGUUCUCGUGAUAUGAAUAAUAUUCAGUCAUGAUGUCUGUUGUCACUAGAUCUUAUGACCCAUCCUAGUGAUACCAUCAGUUAAUGCUUCCAAUUAUUUUAGAAGUCAGUGGGCUAUACUACACAUAAAAAUAACAAAAUUUAAUGCUCAUAAAAAUGAAGAAUUCUUUCUAAGCAAAAAAAUGGCUUUAAAAUUGACUUUUUGUGGUUCCUGGGAUUGCUGUAUCCAUUAAUCAUUCAAUCCUUUAAAAGGACUUCUAGCAAAAUGACCUCAGGGAUUGCUACCAUUUGGAACUCAUAUCCAUUCAGCUGUCUUAUCUCUGGGUGCCCAGGUGCAUUUCUAUAGCAUUUAUCAACACAGCAUCUAUAGGAUGUCACUUGUGCCCAAGUACAUGUGCAGCAAUUACAGAAGAAGCACCUCUUCACCCAUGCUUAUAUCCCACUAUCUUCCUAGUACAGCCUCCAGUUGGGGCAGAGAGCAGAGCACUGUCGCCAUGUUCAGUGUUUUUAGGGAUAAUACUUGAAGCAAAAUCCUAACUUCUUUUCUUUAUGAACAUGGCUUUUAGUUAAUAGAUUAUUAGACACAGAACCCCAAGUAACUUGCAUUGCUAAUGUCUUUUGAGGCUUUGGAAGAAAUAUGAAAGAAAUCCAGUCAAUCACCCGGAUGUUUGUUUCAUUUGCUGGCAAACACGUGCUUAUUUACACACAUGGAGAUGAUGAUAUUCUUCAAUGAUUUUUAUAUGAAUUGUGAAGAUUCAUCCUUAAGUGGGGCAAGAUCCACAGAACUAUUUAUAUAAUUAAGCCUCUAUCAAGGAGAAUAAUAAUGUAAGCUUCUGUCCAUUUGAACAUUAUUAUGAUGUAUAUGGAACUGGCUUACUGUUUUAGAAUUUCUGUAUGUUUUCCUUUAUUAUAGCUUCAGGCUUCCUACCAAAUUGACAAUAUUCGAGUGUGCGGAGUCCCAGUGGAUUGCUACUGGUAAUGAACAGAAGGUCUCUCUCCCUUCCUCCUUUCCUGUUUUCAAGUUACAGGGCCCGAGAUGCAUGGGUGUGAGACAACACAGAAGCAGUGUAGAGAAAACCGUUUUGCUCAGGGGACCUGCCAGCUGAACUCUCCCCAAGUGCUUUUAAAAAGAAAGAAAAAUAUGUAUAUUAAAUGCCAAUUUUAAAUAAAUCCAAAGAUUUGUAGAGCCCUGGUCCACUGGAUGAUGUUGCUUUAGAUAUGAAUGUGUACCAAGUGAGGUAACAGAUAAGAAAAGGCAAUGCUAAAAGUCUCCUGAGCUUUCUAACAAGAGAUCUGGGAAGUUUAAAAGCAUAUCAGGUUUCUCCGAGAUUAUUAACUCUGGACCACAUUUCAAAGUGUAUCAAGUGCUGCCUGCUUUAUGCCAAACAGAAGGGAACAUACUACCAGACUGGGCAGACAGAACUAAUAAGAACUGCAAUAAAUCAAACUAAGAAAUAUUUAUUGAACAUCUCCAUGUCUCCAGCAUUGGAGUGUUAGGUGUGUGAUGUAUGUAAAAUAUAAAUGAAAAGGUCUGCAGUCUGAAAGAGCUUAAAUGAAUUUGGGGGAGAUAAGACAACUACAUAAAAAAUAAUGAUAAUGUAAAAUUUGAACAGCAAUUCAAAAUGAAUACCUCAGGAAACACCACAAAAGAUGAAAAUGGACCCAACCAGGAACAUAAAUGAAGUCCCUAUUUAAAUGUUUGAAGCUAAAAAGAUAGCUUCAUGAAAAUUUUGCUGUACAAAAAAUUAACAUUGAGGCACACAAUGCAAAUUAUACUUCAGAGACACCGGGAUCUUAACUGAGUCCUGUGCAUGUUCCCAAUCAGAUGCUGUGUUUGUAAUGGAAACAGAAAGCCAAAGUGCUAGCAGUCAAUGGUGGACGUGGAAUGAAAUUAUAGGUAAAUUAUAAAAUAAAAUACACAGGAGUCAGGCCUUGUUGUAGUUUAGGGUAAGAAGGCCUUUCUCUCUUCAAAACAUAACAUAACACACAGUAACUCAGUUUUUCAGAAAUUGCUUGACUUAACCUGAAUCAUCUACCAGAUCUGCCCACCACUCAGGGUCCAGCCUCUGAAAGGCCUUGGAAGAGCAGGUUCCCAGAGGUUCCUCAGGGUUCCUCGAGGUCCUGCCUCCACCUGGUGUACUCCUCUUGUUCCAUCACCAGGAGUUACUAACCAGUACUGAACACCUGGCACCCAGUACAGAAUAAUUAAUAGGCAAAGGAAGAAUUUUUAAACAAAGGAGAGGCUUGACAAACCCAGGUGAAGUUGACUAAAACAGAAGAAGGGAAUAGGAAAGGGUAAACACUCAUACCUUUAAUAAAGGCAGACCCAGAUUAUAUUGUUAGAUCUAUUGAUAGUAUAAUGUUCAUAGUUCCAAGAGGAUUAUUGAGACAUAAGUACCAACCUCAAGUAGAACGAAAACCAGGAAUUUAUCUUAAAAAUCCCCACUGAAAACAAAACUGAAAGGGCUCCUACAGCCAGACAGAAAGUGUCAGAAGCAGAGAGACCACUCCCUUCCUCCAGCCCCAUCAGAGCUGCCUGCUGAUGAACUCAGCUGAAAGCCCAAAGGUAAGGGGGUCCUGGGCAAGGUCCAUGUAAGUGCGCCCCCUGCAGCACAGAGCGGCCAAAAUGGGAAGAGCUGAUCUAAAAGCAAAAAGACAACCUCCAGUGCACACAGCAGCUCCACAGAUGAUCCUAACUGAGCACAGCCACUAAAAAUGGACGUGCUCACUUGAGAGCUGAUUCCGAAAAUCCACCCUAUUUUAUUUUAUUAGUUUUUGGCACUGGGGAUGGAACCAGAGGUGCUCUACCACUGAACCACAUCCCCAAUCCAUUUUAUUUUUUAUUUGGAGACAGGGUCUCUGAAGCUGGCCUUGAAUUUGUAAUCCUUCUGCCUCAGCUCCCACAUUGUUGGGAUUUCAGGUGUGCACCACUGCAUCCAGUAAAAAUCCACCCAUUCGAAGCCUAAAAGUCCAUGCUGCUUGUAGUGUGUUCAGAGUUGCACACCCACUGGUAUGUAAGUUUAGAGCAUAUCAUCACCCCAAACAAAAACAUGCACCUCAGCGGUCACUCCAGCGAUUUCCCUUUUCCUUGGUCCAGGCAGAUGCUAAUCUGUCCCUUUCUCUGUGGAUUUGCCUGUGCCUGUAGAGGAAGUCAUACAUGUGGUCCUUCUUUGUCUGGCUUUUCACCUUUGCAUAGUGGUUUAUAAUAGUCUCAUUCCCACUUCAUUCUUUUCAUGCCUAACAUUCCACUGUAUGAAAAUAUUGCAUUUCCCCCAUUCUUCAGUUGACACUCAUUGGUUGUUUUUCUUUUUUAAUAUUAUUGACAAUGCUGCUGUGGACAUGCAGGUACAGUUUUUUUUUUUUUCCCCUUGGACAUGUGUUUUCAGUGCUUUAGUGUAAACACCUGGAGUGGAAUGAUGGACACAAGGACACCAUGAUGUUUAACAUUUUGAGGGAUGACUAGGUAGAUUUCCAAAGAGCUAUACAACUUUAUAAUUCAACCAGCAAUGCACCAAGUUCUCAUUUCUCCUUAGCCUUACUAACUUGAAUUUUUAUCCAUCUUUUUUACAUUGGUUAUCUUAGUGGGUUGGCGGCAUCUCAUGUGGCUUGGUUUGAGUUUUCCUAAUGAAUAGAACUCGUGUGUAACUCUUGGUGUAUUUACUGAAUUGUCUGUAUGUGUGUACUUAUAAAUAUUUGAACAUUUGUCCUUUUUUAAAGUAGGUUGUCUUUUCACUGUUGUAUUGUGUUAACAAAAAUUCACUAGGAAAGAUGAUGUUAGGUAAAAAAGGGGAUAUUUUAUUUCAAAGAACAGAAUAUAGGGUUCAGGGAAAUGCAGCCGGGGUAUGUUAGUCAAUUUUCUGUUACUACGACAAACAACUGAGACAACUCAAUUCAUAAAAAGCAAAUAUUUAUUUUGGUUCAUGGCUUGCAAAAUUUCCGUGCAUGCUCACUCUGUUGGCCAGGAGGUUUGGGGGCCUUCAGCGAGGCAGCACAUCUUGGUGGGAGCACAUAGUGGAGGAAGUUGCUCACCUCAUGGCAGCCAGGAAGGAGAGAAGGUUGGGGAGGGAGGAGAGGAGGAGGGAGAGGAGGAGGAACAGCAACAGCCGCCGCCGCAGCAGCCAGGUUCCCACAUCCUCAGUGACAUGACUUCUACUAGGCCCUCCCUUCUAAAUGCUCCAGUACCCGUCAGUAGGUCCACAGACUGGGGGUGAGCUUUCAAUAUGUGGACCUUUGAGAAUAUUCCAAAUCCAAAUUAUAGCACUUAAGGACAAAACAGAAGUACACCCUGAAAAAACAAAUGUUGGGGGUGGCUUAUGUAAAGAAUGUCCCCUCCACCCCCGGCUACCAAUGCAGUCCACCUAUGUAAAUGAGGGAUGCAAGCAUACAGGAAGGGCUGAUCCUGAUUGGCUGAUUGCAGAUUGUAGCUCAUUGCCCAGGCAGCAAAAUGAGCCUUUCCUGGGGCGGCUUAUCUUGACAGUUGGAAUAGGAACAUGCCCAGGCAAUGACACAAAGUUUAAUAUGUGACUCUUUCAGGAACACAAGAGUGCGAGUGUAUUACCCCCAAAUCCCCAAACGUCCAGUGCCUGCCAGGCUCCAUUUUGAACUUAGGCCCACGUAGCCACUUGGGACUGUUCUCAGAACUUCAGUUUUUCUUCAGUCAUAAGAGUUCAUAUAUUCUGGAUGCAAGUCCCUUGUAAGAUACAUGAUUUGCAAAUAUUUUCUCCCAUUCUAUGAGUUUUCUUUUCAGUGUUUAGAUGUGUCCUUUAAUGAACAGAAAAUUUUGAUCUGGGAUAAAUCUAAUUUAUCUAUUGUUUUUCUUUUGUAGAAUAUGCAUUAGAUGACCUAAGUGUAAUGCUGCCUACUCCAAAAAUUUAUGCCUAUAAUUUAUUUAUAUGUUUUCUUCUAAGAAUUUGCAGUUUAUCUCUUUAACUUUGGUCUGUGGUCCAAUUUGAUUUAAUUCACGUACACAGUCUAAAGUCUAUCUUCUUUCUUUCACAUAUGAACAUCCAGAUAUUUGAGCAUCGUUUUUUGAGAAAACUAUAUUUUCUCCCUUUAACUGUCUGGUUGAUUUGUAAAAAAUGAAUUGAAUAGCAAAUGACUUUAUUUCUAGAUAUUUAAUAACAUUUCAUUUAUAUGUGUGUAUAUAUGUCUGUGUCGCAAAGGGGCAAAAUUGCGACGUAUACAGUUGAGGGGAGAAAUAAUGUCCACAUGCUUCUGCACCUUUCAAUGCUUUAUUCACUCAAAUCACUCAAUACAAUUUCACUCUAUAGGUUCUUGAUCAAGAAAACGACAAUCUUUAAUGCUAGGCACUGCCAUAGACAUAAUCACUUCACGGCAAACAAUUCUAGAUUAAUUUUAAGCACUAAAAAACACACUUAAUCAUGACAGUCUAAUGACAGACAUUCCCUCUGCAGGCUAAGUUCAAAAGUCUUAAGCCUUAGGCUUUAAGUUCAGUAGAUGCACUCACUCAGACCGCGGAUACCAGGUCCUGAACCAAGGCAGGCCUUUCCUGGUGUAGAGUGGACAAGUUGAAGAGAGGGUUGUAGAGAGAAGUUGCGGCUCUCACCAGGGUCCAGACGGGGUGGUAGAGUUUGAGAGUGGUGAGGAUCACGCAGAGGCUUAGGAAUGAAGACAAGUGAUGGGACGUCAGGUCCUCCUCAGGCUCUCCAGCUCGAGGGCAUCCUUGUUUCGGCUGGCGGAAUCCCUGUUCAUCAGCUCUAUUAUUUAUACUAAAUUUGGGGGGUUUUGACCCCCCUUUCAACUUUAUCAGCUCCAUAUUUCUCCAUGACAUCAUUUACCCUGGGGACAGAAACAUCUGGUCUGGUGGUCCCCACCCUGAUCUCCUCAUCUUUCCCUCUUAUCAGCCUGCCAGGGGCUUCACUCUGUUUAUCAGGGCGAGGGGAAGUGACUUGUUUGAGGCCACACUGGAGGGCUCUGUGGGUGUGCCUGGUGAGACUGCAGGUUUCAAACUGGAGUUUUUAAAAUGAAGCUGCUUAGGCUCGGCCUAAGGCCAUCCUCAUAUUGUGUGUGUAUAUAAAUGUUAGUACUGUGUUGUCUUGAUUACUGUACAUACAGAGAAAGAUUUGAAAUCAAGAGAUAUGAAUUCUCUAGGCAUUUUAAAAAAUUUUUUGACUCUUUUAAGUUCCUUGCCUUUCUACAUAAAUUUUAGGAUGAUGAAGUCAAUUUCUUCUUUUAAAAAAAUUCCAGGUGGGAUUGUGGUAUGUAUGGAUUGCAUGGAAUUUAUACAUCAGUUUAGAAUGUGUUAUUGUUUUAGCAAUAAUAAUUCUGCCAAUCUCUGAGCAAGGAAUAUAUUUCUAUUAAGCCUUUCUAAACUUUUUUUUUCAGGGCUGUUUACUAGCUUUUAGUGUACUUAUUUAAUAAAAUUUGUUCCUAGGUGUUUUAUUUAUUUAUUUUCUUGCACUCUUGGUAGUAUGAUUGCUUUCUUAAUUUCAUAUUCAGGUUAUUCUUUGCCAAUGCAUAUAAAAACAAUUGAUUUUUGCAUAUGGAUUUUGUAUCCUAAGACUUUACUGUAUUUCAUUAUUAUUCUCGGAGUGUUUUAGUGGAUUCUUUAGAGAUUGGGUAUAUAAUUUCAUGCCUAUCUAAUCCAAGUGGUUUUUAUUCAUUUUCUAUUCUGAUUGCUUUUGUACUUUGUGUUAUAGCAGCCACAGAAACUAAUACAACUGCAUCCCAUGAAUUUUGGUAUAACAUAUUUUCUUCUUUAUUCCUCUCAAAUAUUCUCUAAUUUUUCUUGUGACUAUGGUUUUUUCCACUUUUUUUAAGGUUCCAUCACUUAAUUUCUCUCUCUCUCUCUCUCUCUCUCUCCUUCCUCCCCCUCCCUCCCUCCCUCUCUCUCUCUCUCUCUCUCUCUCUCUAUAUAUAUAUAUAUAUAUAUAUAUAUAUAUAUAUAUAUAUAUAUAUUCCUUCAAAUUCCUUGUAAAUUAUUUUCUAACACUGAUUUAUCAUUUCAUUCUGUGUGGUCAGAGAACAUACUUGGUAUGAUUUCAGUCCUUUUAUGUUUAUUGAGGUUUACUUUAAGGACAUGUAUAGUGUGUCUUAAGAGAAAGCUUCAUGAUACAUAAGAAGAGUGUGUCUUGUGGUGUUGGGUGGAGUGUUCUAUAGAUGUCUGACAGUUUAUGAUUUUGUUCAUCUUUUAUUUCCUUAUCCAUCUUCUGCCUAUUGAAAGCAGAGCAUUGAAGUCUAUCCCUACUAUUGUCAUUGAAUUGUGUGUUUCUCACUUUAGUUCUUCAGAUUUUGCUUCAUGUAUUUUGGGGCUUCAUUGUUAGGUGUGUGUCUAUGAGUUAUUAGGUCUUUGUGAGCCAUUCACUUUUUUAUCAUUUUGGAAAUCCUAAUUUGUCUCUAGUAGAAACUCUUAAAGUCUUUUUACCAUCACUUCAGUUCUCUUUUGGGUACUUUUUUGCAUAGUGUUAUCUUUUUACAUCCAUCUACUUUUAAUCAACUUAUUUGUGUAUUUGAAACUAACGUGUGUUUUGUAGUCAGCACAGAGUUUGAUCAGUUUUUUUUACCAUUCCUUCAGUGUCUGACUUGUCUAGAGUCUCUGGUCUGUUUACAUGUAGUAUAAUUACCCACAGGAGAGAUGUAAGAUGCUAGCUUCCUACUUAUUUAUUUUGUUCCUCUACUCCUACAUCAUUAUUUUCCUUUGUGUUCCAUAGCUGUUUUCUAGGUUAGCAUUCUAAUUCAUGUAAAAUUUGUUUUACUCUUUUUUUAAAAAAAUAUUUCUCUAAUAAUUCCUCUGGGGAUGGAAAUUAACAUUUUAACUUAAGUAGUUUAAACAGAUGAAUUCAAUAACAUAAUUUUAAUAGUUGUAGAAAAUGAUGCAAGAAUAUAACCCAUUCCCUUUCUAUUUCUUUGUUAUAUUAUUAUACUUUUAUCUUUAUUAUAUAUAGUUUAUCAAUAGUUUUUGAAAUCAUUAUUCUAUGCAGUUUGUAUUAAACUAAAAAAAUGAAAGUAGUAUGACAAAAAUACAUUUAUAUAUUGUCUUGUAUGUUUACCUAUACAGUUAACUUUUCUGGUGCUCUUUAUUUCUUUGUUGGAUUCAAUUUAUUCUGCAAUGUCAGUUCAUCUGGUAUUUGGAACUCCUUUAGUAGUUUCUUUUAGGGAAGUCUGAUAGUGACAAGUUUUCUCGUUUUUUUUUUUUUUUUUCCUAAGAAUGUCUCAAUUUUUUUCACUUUUGAGGGAUAUUUGUGCUGUGUAUAGAAUUUGUUGCUGUUUGUCAUUGUCGUUUUGUUCUGUUUCCAUGUUGCUGGGGAUUGACCCAGCGCCCUGGUGCAGGCCAGGAGGGAGUUCUGCACUGGAAGGCAGCCCUGGCACCGAGGGGCUCUCCUUGAGCAGCUGCAGCACGCCACGCCAUUUCCUUCUGGUCUCCGUGAUUUCUGCGAAUUCUUCUCUGACUCCUCUGAGGUUUCUCUGUUUGUGCAAGCCAUUUUUCUUUUUCUUUGAUUUCUGUUUGUCUUUGGCUUGAGAUUAGCUAUGAAGAGUCUAGGUAUGAAUCUCUUUUGAGUUUAUUCUGUUUGGAAUUAUUGAACUUCUCGAAUAUGGAAGUUAAUGUUUUUCAUCAACUUUAGAAUGAUUUUUUUACUGCACCAAAUAUCUGCUGCCGUUUUCUGCCCCCCUUGUGGGAGUUCUGUCUUGUAUUUAUCAGUGCCUUUUCUUCAUUGUUUUGUUUUUCUCUUCACAGACUGAAUAAUCCCAGUUGAUGAGCCUCCCCACUUUCUAAAUUAUUCCUUCUGUAAUUUUAACCUACUGUUAAGUCCCUGCAGUGAACCUUUCAAUUUCAGAAUUUUUAUAAUUUACAUUUCCUUAUUAAUGUUUUUUAUUUUAUGAAAAAUUCUCAUACUUUCUUUUAAAUAUUUAGAACUGUCUUUAUUUCUUUGACAUUAGCUGUAAUAGCUGAUUUGAAGUCUUUGUCUUGUUGGUCUGAGGUCUAUAUUUUCUCAGGAGAGAUUCUAUUAAUAGCCUCUUUUUUUCUUCAUAGGAUUCAUCCCCCCCCCACUCCUCUUUUUCUGUCUUGUAACAUUUUCACUCAGCUUUGGACCUUUAAGCAAAACUAUAUGGAAAACGAAACCUCUGAGCUUUUAUUAAACUUUUUUUUUUAAUUAAAUAACAAAAUUGACUAAAAAUAAAGUAUAAAUUAAUAUCUAUCAUUUAUAACAACUACUAAAAGAAGAAGAAGUGACAACAUUUAUUGGCAUAGAAAAAUCUAAGAGCAGCCAAGAUAAAAUUAAUAAAAGUGGCAUGAGGGUUAAUUUCAUUUUUGUGAAGUAUCUUCUACCAUCAAUACUUAAUGCUUAUGAAACUUUCUAUAGUAAGUAAUUUAUCAUCAAUUCUCUGUUGUGUAAUGCAACAAGGAAAGCUGAGCCCUGCUGGUGACAACAGGAAUUUAACAAGAAAGGAUACUGAUGAUUUCAAAACAUAAUUGUAUUGGAUUAUUAUAAUUAUUAGAAACAUUUUAAGGUUUAUAACCUAAAAUGGAAAAUAUGUAUUUCCUUUGAAAGGAAUAUUUAAAAUAUUGAUUAAAUGCUGUCUCAACUUCAAUAAAAUUCUUUUAGCAGGCAAUUGUAUGGGUGAUCUCUUGUUAUAUUUGGAAAUUGAUAGUGGAUGACUGCUUUUCAAACUAAUUAGUUUUAUAUUGAAAAUAUCAUCAAUUUGAAUAGUUAUUGAGGAAAAUUGAAAAUAAGAUACCGUUUUUGACCAUUUGGGGAAAAUCAAAAUUGAAAUUGUUGCCUAUCAUUAAUGUAAGAACUUCACCUUAAUAUACCAUAAAUGUUAGUGCAUUAAAUUGUUUCAACAUGUCUCAUUCUUGCUAAACUGAUUAGAUUGUUUUCUCCAACUUAUAGGUGUGAGUUCUGAAGAUCUCCCCUAUACAUGGAAGUGUGAAUCCAGUCUCUGAAAUCUGUUCAUUGUGGCUGGGCACAGUGGCACAUCUGUGAUCCAAGCCACUUUGUAGUCUGAGGCUGGAGAAUUGUGAGCUCAAGGCCAGCCUGGGCAACUUAGCAAGACCAUGUCUAAAAUAAAACAUGAAAAGGACUGGGGUUAGCUCAGUGAUGGACACCUCUGGGUUCAAUCUCCAGUACCCCCUAAAAUCCAUUCAAUAUUUAAGAAGAAAUCAUGAAUAUGAAUCAACUAGCCACAUAAGAUAAAUGGAUAUAAUUCAGGAGAUUUAAAAAAGAGAAAGCAGGUUUAAAGCAGAAGGAGACAGGAACCGAGGAUAUAUUGGAUAAAAUAGCACUUGAAGUUCAUGCUUUGGACACGUUCCUAUGGGGGAGGAUGGCAACAGCCCAAAUGCCCCAAACAAGCAGAACUUCAGAAGCAGCAAGGGAGCCAUCCUCCCCAGACCCCGAAACGUCAGUGGUGAAUGAAUGAGAGACUUAACAAGACAAGGUAAGAAAUGUUUUUCAUUCUUUGUAAUCUUAAGGCCUCUUCACUUUCUUGUGACAGUGUAUUGGCCAGGACUCUAAAACAAUGUUGAAUAGUAGAGGCAAAGUCAACUCAAUAUUGUAGUCUUGAUCCAGACUUUAAAGCCUUAAAUGCCUUAUCUCCAUUAAGUGAAUUAUUUGUAAUUUUUUCUUCAAUACUAGAUAUUGAACUCAAAGUGCUCUACCACUGAGAUACAUACCUAACCCUUUUUAUUUUUAUUUUGAGACUGCAUCUCAUAAGUUGCUGAGGCUGGCCUUGAACUCGCUAUUCUCCUGCCUUAACCUCCCGAGUUGGUAUGAUUAUUUUGUGCACUUCUGUACUGGGUUUAAAAUAUUUUUUGCUCUUUUUGUACUGGGGAUUCAUCCUAUGGGUAGUUUACUACUGAGCUACAUCCCCAGUCUCCUUUAUUUUAUGUCUUUAUUUUGAGGAGGGGACUUUCUACUGACAGUUUCACUAAGUUGCCCAGGCUGGCCUCCAACUUUCAUCCUCCUGCCUUAGCCUUCCUAGUAGCUGGAAGUACAGAUGAGUGUCACUGUGUUCCAUGUGAUGUUUUUCUAAUUAAUGUCUUUAUCAGAUUAAAAGUUCCCUUAAGUGCAUGACUCCCAGCUUAGUUCUCUAUUCCUUGAAUGCACCCAGCUCCUCCGUCUCAAGGUUUUAGUAUACUCCUAGGUUUUAGUAUACUAGGUUUUAGUAUACUCCUAGGUUUUAGUAUACUCCUAGGUUUUAGUAUACUCCUAGGUUUUAGUAUACUAGGUUUUAGUAUACUAGGUUUUAGUAUACUCCUAGGUUUUAGUAUACUCCUAGGUUUUAGUAUACUAGGUUUUAGUAUACUCCUAGGUUUUAGUAUACUCCUAGGUUUUAGUAUACUAGGUUUUAAUAUACUCCUAGGUUUUAGUAUACUGGAUUUUAGUAUACUAGGUUUAAGUAUACUCCUAGGUUUUAGUAUACUAGGUUUUAGUAUACUCCUAGGUUUUAGUAUACUCCUAGGUUUUAGUACACUAGGUUUUAGUAUACUAGGUUUUAGUAUACUCCUAGGUCUUAGUAUACUCCUAGGUUUUAGUAUACUAGGUUUUAGUAUACUGGGUUUUAGUAUACUCCUAGGUUUUAGUAUACUAGGUUUUAGUAUACUGGGUUUUAGUAUACUCCUAGGUUUUAGUAUACUCCCAGGUUUUAGUAUACUAGGUUUUAGUAUACUCCUAGGUUUUAGUAUACUGGAUUUUAGUAUACUAGGUUUUAGUAUACUAGGUUUUAGUAUACUCAUAGGUUUUAGUAUACUCCUAGGUUUUAGUAUACUAGGUUUUAGUAUACUCCUAGGUUUUAGUAUACUGGGUUUCAGUAUACUCCUAGGUUUUAGUAUACUCCUAGGUUUUAGUAUACUGGGUUUUAGUAUACUGGAUUGACUGGCCAUUGUUUUUCAACAGGGUGGUUCCUCAUGACCACUCCUUUUAGUUGGAAUGCUUUCCAUGUUAUUUUUAUAUAUUUCCAUGUUCCAACUUAUUUCCAAAAAUAAGUUCCUGUAGUAACUUAUUUUUCUCUCAGAACACUUAUCACCACUUUAGUUAGGGGAAAAUGUUUGUUUAUUCCCUCUUUUACCUGUAAGCUCCCCUGGUGCAGGGCUGUGCCUGAUUAGUUUUAACCUAACAACCAGCUACCACAUCACUCCUGGCUCCUGGUGCCUGCUUGGCAGGUCCUUGGUGAAAGAUGUAAGAGUAUCCAUAAUAAAACAGUAACUUACAAAAUGCCUUUUCAGAAAUAUAAUUCAUGGUUACUUUCUUUUUCAUGCAAUGAUCAUUAUAGAAAUCUCGCAUUUCUACUAAGAGCUUUACUUUUUAAAGUUGCGAAGGCCAUCUGAAGAGCACUGUCCCGCUCUCAGCCGCACCUUGGUCCACCUUUCUUCUUAGCCACCAGCCGACACGCUGUGCGUUUAUUGUUAUGUCUGCUGCCCCAGCUAUAAGGUCAGCACCCUGAGAGCAGGGACCAGGUCUGUUUUCUUCCUUGCCAUGUCAGCAGCAUCUAGGAUGACAUCUUGAAGGUUCUCAGUGAGUAUUUGUUAAUGGACCAAGAAAAAUGUAAACUGAUUCUUGCAUGUAAGAUUCUGAGUUGUUUUAUAAGAAAAGGAAAACUCUUCAUGUCUGAUGACUCACCACUGUGGUGCUUUCUGGUUCUGGGACUGACUUCUCAUUGGUCUUAGGGUCCUGAGGUCAUGAGGACGGCAGUGAGCCUUUCCCUUCUCUCAGCAGAGGUGGAAGGUGGUCAUGGAUGUCCCCAGGCUGUUCUUCAUGGGGAGCCUCUUGGUCCUGGCAGAUAACUUAGUGCCUCCAGGUUUGGACACAUGGCAGUUGUCCCUCUCACAAUAUCUUGUUAUACUGACAGAUGCAUUUGACUCUCGUCUGACUUGUGUCCACUCUCCAGGAAAAAAAAGAAGAUAUUUUGACCAGGUCAGAUGUGACAAGGUACAAACAACUGAAUUUUAAAUGGGUAAAACUGGAUGCCGAGACACAGCAUCUUCACUAAAUAACCAUGACACUGGGGUUCUUCUUCCCCCAUCCCAGGCAGAGAAACUUUGGUAGUUAUAAUCCAAUAAUCCCCCAAUUCUCCUUAUUUGUACUAUUCUGGUUAAUGACAGGAGAGGAAAGAAAGGUUAAAUCAUAGAGGCCUCGUCAAUGUACACUAGAAGAGAGAAAGAACAAGAAAGAAGAAUGGGAUGUGCUAAUUAUGGGUGAUGGUUUUUCACAUUGGGAUUUGAUGGUGGAUAAGAAAAUUUCAGAAUUUGAGGAAAUCCUCUUGGAGAGAUGGAGGUGGAGACAGACGUUAGUCCUAAUAUUGGCAUGCACACUUGCGUGAAGACUGCACUCAUUCUUCAGUAUUAAGAUUCUAAGCAAAGGUUUUGAGGUGAGUAUUUUUUUUAAACAUUUUUUUAAAGGAGAGAGAGAGAGAGAGAGAGAGAUCUUUUUUCUAGAUGGACACAACACAGUGCCUUUAUUUUUAUGUGGUGCUGAGAAUUGAACCCGGGUCCGGCCCCUGCUAGGCGAGUGCUCUACCGCUGAGCCACAAUCCCAGCCCUGAGGUGAAUUUUAAUAUGGUUAAUUUUUGUUUGCAGACUGAAUGAAAGUCCACUCAGGGAUAGCACUACAUGACCCUCAGGGGCAUUUGGGGGAAUCAUGAGGCCUUACUUCUGAUCGUGAAUCAAUGUUCUCAACCUCUCCUCUCAUUAAGACACUUAGACUAGACUUGUAGAAGAUAUUUUUUAUCAGACUUUCAAAUUAUUUGAAAAAUAUAACAAGGAGUAGGUGAGUUUAGCAAAUUUCUUGAGCUGCAAUAGCUCUUAAAUACACACACAUAUACACAUAGAGCAUGUGAAUGUGUACACCAUUUAAACAAAUAUCUAUAUAUCUAUCUAUAUGUAUUAGAUAUGGAUAUGGAGAUAUAUCUAUCUGUAUACAUAUAUAUGUAUAUAUAUAUAUGUAUGUGUGUAUGUGUAUAUAUAUAUAUGUAUGUGUAUAUAUAUAUAUAUAUAUAUAUAUAUAUAUAUAUAUAUAUAUACAUAUCCCCUAGUACUCUUUGUUAUAUUUUUCAAAUAAUUUGAAAGUCUGAUAAAAAAAAUAUCUUGUUCAAGUCUAGUGUAAUUGUUUUAAUUAGAGGGGAGGCUGAGAACCUUAAUUCAGGAUCAGAGGUGAGGGCUCAUGAUUCACCCAAAUGUCCCUGAAGGGUCAUGUAGUACUGUGUAUAUAUAAUGAAGUUUAUACUGAGGUCAAGUUUUCUCCUCAAGGGAGAAUGUGCUGUGUGAGACUUUAUGUUCCAGAGAAAGAACAGAUCCUGCAGUUAGUUGUCUAUGAGUUCACCAGAUAGAAAUCUCAGAAACGUUCAUCCUGGGUAAUGCCUGGAAAAGUUAACCCCAGCUGCAUGGAGCCCUGCUUUCUCAAGGAGUUAGAGUCACUUCUGGAAGCACAGAGAAGAUUGAUGGUAGCCAAGCUUGGGUUAAUUCAAAGUUCCUGGUUCUACAAGUGAAACUGGAUCCCUGGGGAAUGGAAAUUGCUGUAGGGUUUUCAAAUAAACAAGCUUUGGAAACCACUGAUACAGGCUAAUUGCUAACAGACACUUGAGAGACUGGCAGAGGGAGCCACGCCAAUGACCAGUGAACAGCAUUUGGUUAGAACAAGGUUUUUAAUGGGAAAAAGUGGGAAAUCUCUAGGACCUGGGUUGUUUUAUGAAUAAUUCACCCUACAGUCUGGCCUUGUCAGUCAUUUCUGUCUCCUUAUCUGCUGGGCUCUCUCAUCCUUUAGAGAACUUCAGAACUGAUCACUAGUUGAAUUUAAAAUGAUCUUUCAGUAAAGAAGAAAAAUGUUAUCCCUGAUUUCAUCAAACUCCAGCUCAGCGGAAGUAAUCUGCCAUGGGCCAGUGAAGUAGAGCUCAGAGGAGCCAUCUUUGGCUAAAUCCCUGAAUUUUAUAAUGAAACCCGAGGGAUGAUUUGGAUGUUCACUGUGGCUGGAAUCAUCAGUCUUUAGCAGCCAAAUGUGAAACCUCUUACUCCCCUCCAGAAGCUGGGUGGCCAUUUAGAUAUGGAGUUCUGGGGAAUGCCUUAAAGCCAGAAGUUACGCAGGCAAGCCUCGGAUUCUUGAAUGUAGAUCCCUGUGUGAGUGAGGUGCCAGUGGACAGGGAUUAGGUCACUUUGUCAAUACUGACUAGACCACACCUCAGAGCUCUCCAGGAAUACACAGUGUGGAGUGCGUAUUUCCACAUGCAGCUAGUAGAAGAGAAUGCCUCAUGAUUAUUUUAGACACAGAGAUAUAUUUGAAAGUUAAAUUCGACCAAGCUGGUGAUGGUAUGGUGGAGGUAAUGAAGAUGCUGCAUUUUUAAUCGUGGUGGGAGUGGAAGUGGUGGGAUCACGAUCCAAAAUGGAGCUGAAUGGGGAAAAGAGGUUCUGUCAAGAGAAGGUCAUGCAGUUUACAGGUAUGGAGUUAGCAGUCAUUUAACCCAACUUGUCCUUGUUGAUCAGGAAAUAAUUGAGGCCCCCAAAUCUCAAGCAAUACCUGGAGUUACAGAAAAGCUCACAUUAGUCCCAAGAUAAUACUUGCCAGAGGUGAAAUAACUAGGCCUUUGCAAUCUGAGCUUCAGCUUCGGGAAGGACUGAUCAAGGACUUUGCGGAAGGUGGAAGAGGAUGGACCUUGGAUGAUGAGACCACACUAUCUCAUAGCUUUGCUGUGGGAUGGCCAUGUAUCCUACACAGAGCCAUUCACACGGAAGAGUUUUGACCACCAAAGCCUUUAUGGUCUUUUAAUUUUUAUAGUGCAGAUAAUAUAAAGUCAAACAGGGAUACAUAGCUAUUAAUGCUGGCAUUUGGAAUUUGCCUGUGAUUUCUAUAAUACAAAGUGCUAAUCGUUACUACUCUCAACCCCUAGAAGAUAAGCAGUAGUGAAUGAGAAUGUGGACAUAAUACAGAAGUAAACAAACAAAUAGCAACAACAACAAAAAAACGAGUGUCAGUCCUGAAGCCAGCAUUGUAUCCUCAUGGAACCUUCCAGUUGGGCCUGCUGAUCUGCUUCUCUAUUGCCAUUUUCUAAUUUCCCCCACUUCUUCUCCAUACCUAUUUUCCUUUCCAAAAAAGAUUUCUUCGGUGUUAUUUAAAAAUCAUUUGCUUAAGGCACUCCUGAAGACCCCUAGCCAAUAGAAUAUGGAUUUGUUCUCUUUUAAUUAUGUGCCUAUAACCAGUAUAAAUGGAGUAAACAAACCACAUGAUAUUCAUGGAGCUGAUUGCUUUUGGCAACCAGUGGCUAAAUCUUCAUAAUGUAAUAUAUUUGUGGUUUUCCGUAGGCAGAGGCUGUAUUUACUCCAAGGAUCAUAAAACAGAAGAGUAAAGCAGCCUUCUCAGACCAGCAUGUAUAAAACCAGAAAUAGAUACAAAGCCUUUUGUUUCUUGGUUUAAUAUUUUGGCACUCUUUUCCUUUUUAACUCCUUUUAUAGUUCUGCAACAUUUGGAAUAAUCUGGAUUUCUUGGAAAAGACAGAUCUAAAAAUGACUUCUUUUAAGGUCUGCUGACUAUAAAUAAUACUAUUUGGAUAGGACAAACUGUAAGAUAGUGUGGUCUCUUAAUGGGGAAUAUAUAUGGAGAGAUUUAAUAGAAAUCAGUCCCAGUACUAAAAAAUCAGCUGUGCAUAUAAUGUCUCAUCCUUUUAAUUCUUGUAUCUUGAAUGGUUUAAUGUGAUUUACAGAAAAUGUUACUUUCAAUAAAAUGUAGAAAAUAAAAGAAUGAAUUUAUGUAGUAUGAAAUAAUAUGUCAAAAAUAAAGCUGUCAAUAUACUUCAGUUCCUCUUUUAUGACAUGGUAUAAUUCUUGCUCAUAUAUGGAGCUCAAGGCACUGUAGUUUUACAAAUGGAAACUCUAAAAGGACUUUUAUGGUGAUUAAUGUUAAUUCUAAAUAUAUAUAUUCUUGAUGAAUGCAAAAUCUAUUUAAUAAGAUGAUUUAAGAUGUUCAAAAAGACUCUUGUACAAACUUAAAACAAGCUAACUUUGAAAAAUUGAAUUUGUUCCUUUAAAAAAAAUGACAUCAUCCAAGAUGUGUUUUUAAUCAGUUAUCAUGGCAGAUAAUCCAGAGGGCAACAUGUAUGGAAAAACAAUGGCAUGAUUAACUAGGCGUUGACCUCGUAUCAUGGCAAUGGUCCAGGGAGAGCUUAUUAGUUUUAGCUAGCAGUAAAUAUGAAACCAAGGGCACCAUAAAUCACAACAGUAGGAUUAAUCUCAAUAUGAAUCAGAUGCAUGGGUAAAACUCAGACAUUCCCAGUUAGUCCAAAAACAGCAACACGAAGUGAGAGAAAAGACAACAACAACUUUCACACGGAAGCCUGUGAACAGUCCUCUCCAUUUUAUCAUAAUUUUCAAUUGAAGAAAGUGGUCCUUAUACCUCAGUGAGAGUGUUCCUUAAUUAAAUAACUUAUAAAUAGGAACAUUUAAGAUUGCUUCUGGGAGACCAGUCGAGUAGAGGAAGAGGGUCUGGGAGGAGGAAGGAGGAAAGAGGAAGAGGAGGUACUGGGAAAUGAAAAUGAGCAAAUGUUAUGCAUGUACAGAUACACCACAGUGAACCCCACUAUUAUGUAUAAUUAUGAUGCACCCAUAAGUUUUAAAAAAUUAAGUAUUGAUGAUGAUCCUAGUCAGGACAAAAUCUUUGCAGGGAAGGGGUGUGUAUUUUGCUUCUUGCAAUAUUUUGUCUACUCCUGCAAUUAGAGGCUAGAGAGUGAGCAGACCUUAGGCCAUGGCUUUAGCAGUACAAACUCAUUCUGUGUAGAUUGUCCAGCUCACCACCAAAGUUUCCAAUAUCACAAGAAUACCAGGAUUCAUGCUUCCCUGUGCCAGCCAUUUAAUUGGCAGGACCAUGUUAGACAACAUCAACAAAUUGGCUAGAAGAGUUCUGAGCCUUGUUUUGACUCAUCUUUAAUAUACAAAGAUGAACUUCAUCAAGAUUUUACAAGACUUAGACUUAUUUUUGUACUAAGAAGGAGUAUUAUUAGAGUUCACUGUGUUUGGAGUUGGCAAAUAGAUAUAUUUCUUACCUUUCAUGAAAAUCUUAAUCUCCAUUCACAAUAUUUGAGUCAGCAUGUUUGAAUCUACAUUACCUUGUUGUUUUUCAAACUCAGAUCUAUGGUAAUGAGGCCAUCAGAGGGAGAAGAAAGAAAAUACUAUCAAAAUUGCUACUUGGUAUUAUGGUAAAAUAGCAACAAUAAAAUUAUUUUAAUCAAUUCUUUGUAAAAAUUAACUUCAAGAGAAAAUUCUGUAAUCCCAACUAAGUAUGGCAGAUAGCCAAAUCUGGACUACAGUAAUUCAGGGAUGCUGUAUAGUCAGAAGCUAACGUGUGCUUCAUAGUCUUUUGAGAUUUCUUUGUGGACAUUUUUCCAUUUACAUAUAUCUAUUUUUUGAGCAGACAUAAUGACUAUAGGUAAAAUAUAUUUUUUUUCUACUGUCAUAUGCUUAUAGGACAGCUGCUGUUGUUGCUUUGAUAUUUUCAAUUAAAACCUAUUUGUUCUUUCCCAAGGACACUGAUAAUAUUCACUAUGGUUUAAGUCAUAUGGAAAGCCCAUUUCUGUCUGAAGACAGAUAGAUGUAGCAUGCCUAAUUCCAGAAAUUUCUAGGGGUUUAGAAAAGGUCUACAUCUGUCAAUUUAUAGCUUGGUUUAUUUUAGAAAUAUGUGUGCAAAAAAAAAAUCAGUCUUUGUAACCCAGACCAAAGGCUUCUUCAAGCCCCUUACCUGUCUUAGAGAUUAACUGUGGAAGCGAAGCAUAGAUAGAGUGGCUCACAUAGAAUUAUUUUGCACAUCUGAUUAUGAUCCUAUGAUGAUACUAUGCACUUUCUGCAACAUACAUGAGAGAGGGUUAAAUUAAUUUUGUAAAUUAAAAGAUUAUCUCAAAAUUUAAAAGAGAAAAGAAAACUAUCUGUUUUUAUGACUAGAGAAAAUGCAAAAUUAUAUAGAUCAGGUGAAACUUUUAUGUCAUUCAAUUUUGUUAGACUACAUCAAGCCAAUUAGAUAAAAUUAAAUUUCAAGCCUGAUUGAUUUUUUAAAUAUUCAUUUUAAACAUUGCAUUUGGUGUUUAUAAUAUUACACAGGAAAUAUCAAAGAAUGUUUGGUGCAUCCAGGAAUGAAAUGAAACCUAUAUUGUCAAUAGCCUCGCUGGGGCUUUUGAUAGAGUAUUAUGACAUUUCUAUAUUAUGCACACCAUAAAAUGCUAAACAUACACAGGACAUAGGACUAUAAGUUUAAAAACGCACAUACUGGAAGCUGGAGUAUUUUGGCAUUUAUAGCUGGCUAGCACAGGAAGAUAAUGAGGAGUUUGAUACCUUGGAAAUCGUAACAAUGAAAUAUGUAACAAUAGUUUCCCAUCAAGAUGGAUCAUAUAUCACACAAUAUUGGGGGAUAAUUCAAGUCUGCAAGGCAAUCUGCUUUUCAUUUCAAGUGGAGGGCCAAUGUAAGCCAUAACUUACCUGGGUAGUACUCGUGUGGGAAAUAAUGACAAAUUUAGAAUAACUCAUGAUGAAAAAAAUCCACAUAAGAAAAACAUGAAAGAUUUUAUAUCCUCUUGGAUCUGAACUUUUUUUUCACUAUUAUUCUUAUCCUUCCCCAUUAAUGGAAAAGCUCUUAUGUUAAUAUGAUUUCAUGAUGAAAUACAAGCAUUUCUUUAAAAAUUUAAAUGGCCACUUAUGAUUACCAGGCAAUAUUUCUCAACUGUUGAUCAAGACAAAGUGAUGUAAGUCUUCAUUGUGAUAGUUUACUGUGUGUAACUCAGGAUCCAGGAACCUAUAAAUUUACACAAUUGUUUAAUCACUUCCCAUGCUAAGAUGUACAGUGACUAUUCUCUUAUACACCAGUUAUUUCUGUGUCAAUAUUUUUUUUAAAUCACAUAGAAUUGGAAUUAGGGUGGCAUAGAAUCAACACUUCUAGAUUUUGUAAAGAAUUAAACGACUUCUAUUCUGUUUUGACUUUUCAUCUAAUAUUUGUGAAAUCUUGUGAGACAGGAAGGAGACAGAGGAAUUGUUGGUGAAAAAUAGAAUGGGUCUUUGUGAUCUGACAAAGUAGUGGGAACUCUCUGGCCUCUGGCAUUUCCCAUCAUCCCUGUAGGCUUUGGCCAGCUGCCCCUUGAGCGAUUCAUCUCAAGACACUGCAUGAGAAUAUGCCAAGGUAAAGAGAGGGGAGAGGGAGUUUGGCAAUAUGGACAGAACUUUAGCUCCAUCUCUAUAUUAUAAUUUACUUUUUCUGUAACACAGAGAUAUCUGUUCACUCUAAAAUCUAAGUUCUUCAUGAAACAGGACUUCAAGGGUGUUGGUUCCAAAUGAGGUAACAUCCUUCUUGCAUAUAAUACAAGGUUGAAGGCCAUAAACUUUAGAGAUAAAGGAAAGCUAAAUUCUGUUCCCAUGGUUUUGAAUAAAUGGUUCCGUCUCUGUGUAUUUCAGUUUCUUUAUAUGUAAAGUUGGGCUCAUAUCAGGUACCCCAUGAUAUUGUUAUGUGCAUUAAGAUAAAGAGUUACAUAAUUUUUUAAAGUAAAUGCAGAGAAUAACAAGUGGUUAUUAUUUUUAUGCUAUUUUUAAAAGAAACUAUUAUUUCUAUCCAUCCAACAUUUAUUUAUGACUGAUACUUUCAGAGAAGAGACUCUUGAGUUAAACAACUACUUAUGCCUUUAUGAACAUUGAGUGAUGAUCCCUAGGCAUUCUUCAGUAAAGUGAUCACUAUUAGUACUUCCUCUUGUCUAUCCCACUCCUACAUUUAACAAAUUGUCCAGUCUCCUGGACAAAAUUGUGACUUUUCUGUUGACAAAGUAGUGUAUCAUGACCAUCACCAGGCUCAAUGAAGACUAUGAAAAAUAUGUCAAACUUUCCCUAUCAAGUAUCUUUAAAGCCAAGAACCUUUGUGACCCUCUUUUUCUAGAAUAAAAUAAAAAUAACCAUAAAGAAAACUGUUUUUAUUUGUUUUAUAAUAAUUAGUUUAACAAUAAAUAAUAACAUUUUCUAAAAUCCUUCUUAAUGGUAAUUGACAUUUUGUAAGAUAAAUUAUGAGAUGAAAAGUACGAAAAAAAGAUAAAAAAUAUAAAAAUGUGGGUAUUUGAUAUCUCCCUUGGUAUAAAGAUUUUAUGUUGAAUCAUUCAAAAUAGUUGACUUUGUUUUUAGUAAGAUGAAAUGCACAACUUAAGAUUACACAUUUCGAAGUGUGCAAUUUUGUAGUGUUGAGUAAAUUCAUAAUGUUGUACCACCACAACUUCAGUCUUUUUUCCAGAGCAUGUUCAUCCCCCCAAAGGAAACCCUAAACCCAUGAAAGAGCUGAUCCCUAUGUUCUUUCAUUCCUCAGCCCCACAGGAAGACUGAUACACUUUGUCCCCGUAGAUUUGCCAACUGGAUAUUUCUUAUAACCAGAACCAUAUGAUAUGUGGAUUUGGGGUCUGUCUGUCCGCUUUCACUUAGAAUAAUGUUUCUGAGUUUUAUGAAUGUACUAGCAAUAAUUAGAUAUUUUUUUUUGUAUGGCUAAUUACUCUUCUACUGAGUGUAGAUACCACAGCUUAUUUAUCCACUCAUUGAUGACUAGAAUGAAUCUUUAUCUUUUCAAAAUAUCUCUUGUUUCUACCAACUUGGGGCAUUAAUCAAUCCCCAGUGUGCAUUAGUCAGAUUAUUGUCACUGCCACCAAAAUGCCUGAGGAAAACAACUCAGAGGCAGGAAGAUGUAUUUUGGUUCCUGGUUUCAGCCCUUGGUCAGCAGCUCCACUGCUGGGCCUUGAAGCAGCAGAACAUCACAACAGAGGGUAUGGUGGAGGAAAUGGCUCACCUCAUGGAACCAGGAAGUGGAAGGAGAGGGGGAGGAAGGGGCAAGGGACAAACAAAGUCCCCAAGGCCACACCCCAGAGGGCUUGCUCCUUCUAACUGAGCCCCAUCACCCAAUGAUGCCAUAAGCUGAGUCCUCGGUGGAUAAUCCCCUUAUGAGCCCAGAGUCUGCCAAUCCCAUCCUUUCCUCAGAUCCUCACCUCUGCACAUUGCUACACUGGGGACCAAACCUUCAACAUAUGAGCCUUGGGGAACAUUCCAGGUCCCAACCAGAACCCACAGUUGCCACAGCCCGGCUGGCUGGGCAAAAUAACCGGGGGAUGACGAGCAACUUGUGUACCUUAAUACAGCAGGAGUGGGAGCCGUUUAUUGUAGGACAGGAGGCGUAUGUAUACAUUCCACUCAGCAUCUAAUUAGCAUAAACUAGAUACAGCAGUCAACCUAUAAGGAAUCUCCACACUUCAUGGCUCGCUUUUGUUACUUCACAAACCACUCCCUCUGGCAAAAUGCCAGGCGCCAUCCAGACUUGUUUACAGACCUUAACACACAGUUAAUAGGAUCUCAAAUUUCUGUGGUUCAUGGCCUUUACUGGAUUCUAAAACUCCAUCCCACAGGUGUUUCCCCACUCGUGUCUGAGAGCACUCAAAUUGAUUCAUGAAGUCCUCUCUUAAUUCAUUUUGGUGUGAAUGGGGACUGCACACAUCAUCACAUGGAGAAGUUGCCCCAUCCCUGCUGAUAAUGCCAUGUCCAUGUCCCUCUGAGAACCACCAGGCCAGCACCAAACAGCUCAGUCACCCCCUCCCAGACAGUGUGCAGCCUCAAUGGCACGCUCCUGAGGCAGUGAAACCCUGGAUGGAUGAGGGAGGCUGAGGCCCUGAGCCCAUCAACUCAGCGGAUGCCCUGAAUCAUGUGGGAGCUGUAAGCUUGUCCCAGAUCCUACAGCUGUCAUAGAUUUUUGACCCAGCAGAACCUUAAUUCAGUUUGAAACAAAUAAGAAAAUUUUUUUUAAAGUCAUUGAAAAUGAUGUUGAUGUUCUUAGUAAAAGAAACAUAUACUUAUGUGUUUUAUAAGUGAAUACUUGCUAUUAGGUGUAAUUAGUGCCUAAAAAUGAAUUUGCAACAUAUUUAUGAUGAUUCCAGCAUUCUAAGAGCUGUGGGAUCAGAUUUCUGUUGAGGAGCAUGGUGGUGUGUCUUUAGAAUACAGUGGGAAUACCUGUAAUGUCCUCUACAGCUUGGUAAAGGGUGGAGCAGACACAACAAUAUGAGCUUUGAUUCAAUCAACAGAACUUGUACUCUUUUUAUUUAGCCAAAAUUGUCAUCUCCCCUUAGUCUCCAUAAAAAAAACAAAGAAAACAGUGAGUUUGAGCUAGUAGUCAAGAGACAAGCCCAUCUUUUUUGUGGUUCUUUAGAAAAAUAUUACCUAAGUAUGCUAGGCCGUCCUCCCAGAGCUUCCCGUGCAAGCCCUUUGGUUUUUACUUAGGCAUUGUUCUCCCAAGCGACAGAGAACAGCUGCACAUAUUCUGGUAAUGGUUGAUAUUUUGAAUAUUAACUAUUUAAUUCACAUUAUAAUCAUUCCCCCCCCCAAAGUCAAGCAGCCUGAGGUUCUUGUACAUUUUUGUGUCCUGUUUGUCAAUGACGUAAUCAUUUCAGAUGUUUCACCUGAGUUUCUUUACAAGUAUUCAAAAUCACAUUUUAAUCUUAUUCACUCCUUUAAAAAUUCUAAAGACAAAAAGUCACAGGAUUAAAAAAAAAUACAAAAUUGAUGAUGUCAUAAAGUCGACGUCAUGCCAAGCGCUCACGAAGAGGUGAAACAGGCGACAGGAAACUAGGCCGGAACUUCCAAGGCAGGGCUUACCUUAGAGUGGUUUUGUAUCAACAUUCUGAGUUUCUUCACAGCAGAAUUGUGAGAACCUGCAAAAAUAAACACAAGAAGAGAAAGUGAAGGGAAGGAAAGAAGGUAAAGUAAGGGAUGCUCAGAGCCACACUGUAGCAAAGCCCUCCCCUCAAGGUACCGAAGUGCCACUACCUGCAGUGUGCACACCCUGCUUGCUAAGGGUCGGCCGUCUGCUUGGGCUCAAAGGUCUUGGCAAAUAAAGCAGAAAGAAGAGGGCGUUUGCAGGAGUCAGUGUUCUUAUGACUCAAAAAAGAAAACCAAAACAGAAAACUACAAUUCAGGGGAAAAAUACCCGAGACCUAACUGAGAAACUUCUCUCGUGGCUUCUCAUACAGAGGUAUUGGGAGAUAUAAGAGGAAUCCCUGGAGUAGGCUAAAAGCUGCAUUUUCGUAGCCUGUUCUGUUCCUUGUGGUGCUCCUCACUGCAGUCAACUGGCAUGACAUUCUUGUGUGAUUUAGCACAAGCUGAUCAAAAUAGUGCUAAAAUUGUGGUUGGGUGCCCAGUCUUCUUAUGCUUUGGUUAGAUCCAAAGAUGUAGUACAAAUAUACUUAAAAAGUGAAAUUUUAGCAUGCCUGCAAAGCCUAUAUCAGCAGACAAUUCCCCACAGCCCUCUCUCUGAUAAAGAUUAAAUAGCAGAAACUGGAAACAUUUUGUCUGCUUAAAAGAACCUGAUGUACAACUACUUGGCACUAUUGGUGAAGAGCUGAAUCACAUCCUUCAACACUCAAAAAAAAACCUAGGUUCUUCACCUCCCUUUCUUAUCUGUGACAUGGUGGGACCUAAUCUUAAGAAGCAGUAUUAAGAAAUAUUAUGUUGGUCCAGAACUGAAAUCAGCCUGGGAACCUGUAGUCUUCAUGUACUUGUGUGGAAAUAAAUGGUAGCUACAGACUUUGAGAGACAUAAAUCAGUGGAAUAUUUGCUGCUGAUAUUAUGCAAAGUGGACAUGGACAUAGAUGUUCAUGACAAGAUGUAUGUUUCAAAAGAAAGCUUUGUUUGGGUAUGUUGGAAGUCAGAACACCAGUCACAGUAACUAUAGAAAUGAUUUGAAAUGAACAUGAGCAUUGUGACCGCAGUUUGAUUUUUUGGCUCUCCACAUAUUAAAAACGAAAUGCAAGGCCUGGGGUUGUAGCCCAGUGGCCAAGCACUUGACGAGAAUGCAGGAGACCUGGGUUCCAUCCUCAGCACUGAAGGAAAAAAGAGGCGAGGGAGAAAUGGCUACUUGUUUGCUAAACACAUCAACUGUUUGGUCAAACUUAUCUUGGGGGAAUCUGGAGAAUGUUCCACUGGAUUAAAAGUUGCAUUUUUAGAAGAAAAUGGAGGCUUGCUCCCCAGCCCCUUCACCCAAGAGAGAAAUACUCGGGAGAAGUCACCUGAAAAGAAGUCCAGGGUCGCACCCUCAAGGAAAAGGCGCUUCUCCUUUGCAUCUGAGCUUCUUCCCAGGACCUCAUGGGAGUUUCCUUCCAACGUUAGUUUUUUUUUUUCCUUUCCUCCUAUAACUUCUCAUCCUCCCAGUACUGAAGGAGUUUAAACAAACAUGAUUUUGUUUGGUUCUGCAGAAUUAACACAACACUCAAGCUUAUUUCUAAUUGAAUGCAGAUGUUUUCUAAGCAGAGAAAAGCCUCAGACUUGUGUGCAUAAUUCUUACCCUGCCCUAAUGGAGAGAACUAAGUCCAAAAUUAGCAACUUUUUAAAGCCAAAUCUGGCCAUGUGCCACAUAGACUGAUUUGAGUUUUCUUUUCUUUUCCUUCUCUUUCCAAGGGAGUAUAGACAGAAGGUCUUACAAAAAAUCUAUACUGGGAAGGCUACUGUUUUUCUAAGAAAAUUUUAAAAGGCUAAAAAAUUCCAACAUGCUAAACUAAUCAAUGUGGCAUGGCAUCUCUGUCUCCCCUCUGCCUCGGUCUUUAGCAGUUACACUCAAAACAUGUCACAAACAUGUUGUCCUCCUGUGGCUCAGCAGCCAGCCUUGGAGGAAUGAGGUCAACUCCAGGGCUCUGUUUUGACUGUCCGUAGUUGCUGAGAAGGACAGACUUGUGGACACCAGAUGAAGGGGUUGCUCUGUGUUCUUUUGACUCCUGGCUUCAACAAUUUGCCAUGAAAGAUUUAAUGACCUCAUUGUCCCCACAGUGCCAAGUCUGUGUGUUUACAUGUCUACAACAGCAGGUUUGGGGCUGAUUAUGCUGCCUCUUUUAAAAACUCACUUUGAUUACUGAGAAUCUCCUAAUUAGGCCGUUUCUGUACAUUAUCUGUGCUGCAGAGGCCUGAUCCCAGCCUUGAAGUGUGCACCACCAUGAAACUCAUUAUUUAGACAUAGGGUAUAUCUUGUGUAUAUCUUGAUGUGCCUUUCCCAUUGGUGAAAGCGUUCAAACUUUUCAAAAGAAAACUUUAAAAAUGUGUGAUUGUAUCUCGUGUGGAAAUAAGUGAUUCCUUGGUAUUACACAUUCCUUGAUUGAUAGCGAAUUGUUUGUGUGUUACAAGGGUGGCCUAAUAGUUCUAAUGAACUUGAAAGGUCAGGCCUUGAGUUAUAUUUAGGGUUAGGUUCAGACAGGUAUUUAAGCAAAGAGAAUUCCUGAUUUGCGCUGGCAUAGCCAGUCCCUCAACCAGUCUAUCCAUGUCAGCAUAACUCUACUCUAGAGCCCUUUCGUUGCCGUAUUAGCCAUUGGAUUUUUACUGGUUUUCAUGAGUUUGUAACACUUCACCUGCAGCCAUGGUAUUGCUCUAGGUUUUACUGAUCUAGAAAACAUUGGGGGCUCUGGGUCUUAGGUUCUUGUAAUUAUUUUCAAGGCUUUGAUUGCCCAAUUGUGAGGAUCCUAUUUUAUGUAGGUGAAGCAUCAUUGGGCACGUUGGUGAAAGUCCGUUUUUUGAGCAAAGUUUAACAUUUUCAGGAAAGAAGAAAGAAGGAAUACUAACCUCCAUUUAUUUUUGAAAUUUAUAAUAAAUCUUCCAACAAAAGCUGUAUAUUACACAACCAAAGUAGAUGACAACCCUGAGAAGCUGAAAGUGGAAGUUUCUAGAGAGUUAUUUCUUCCCUUGUCAAAAGAACAACGCAGGAGCAAGGGAAUUGGUUUUGAACCAUGCUCACACACAAAUAGUGGUAGAAAAGACUUGAAUUUUCAUCAGUAAUCAGGGAAGAUGUUUAAGUCAAUUUCAACCAAAAAUACCAACUCAGAAUCUUGGAUCCAGGCAAUAGUUUUGCUUUCCUUCCAUGCCGUUCCAAAGACCUGAUCGGGAGGCAAGUUGGGACAUCCUGGGACUUCAUCCUGCACGUUCAGUAUUAAGGAGUUCUGAAAGCACUUAUUAUUCUGUUUCUUUUCCUUUGAAUUUCAGUUUCCGUUUGUAACUUGCUUUAGUGGGUGACCUCUUGAGCCCACAGCUAAUAGCUUCUAGCUGAGUAACUUCGGCUCCUGAAGGGAAUUCAUAGUAUGAUAUUCUCAGGUUAACUCGUAAUUGAUCGUUUUUAAUGGAUGAGUCUUUUUGUUUAGCUAAGGAUUUCUGACCUUUAAGACUGUUAGUAUUUCUAGGUGAUAUUUACUCUGUUGAUCUCUUGCUUUCAUUGUUUCUUUGCACUCUUUGUGUGUGGUUUCUCUGUUUGAGCUGGUGAUUUCAAACAUUUUCAAACUAAACACUUAAUCUCUGUGGUGUGUGCACUUGGUAGCCUGUGUCUGUGGAAGCGCUCCUCUAAGGCAGUCAAGAGGUGUCGAAAUCUUUGUCCAGAGAAACUUCAGUGCUUCUCGCUGUGGGGGGGAAGGGAGCCUGAAUGAGGCCUAACCACUUUGGUUUAUUUUCUAUCUGGUUUUUGGCUUAUUGGAUCCAGUUGUAUCAGGUCUUUGUAUUUUAGACACUUACUGGGAAAAGAUUAAUGAAAAAAAAAUUCCUACAACAUCUUUAUACUAUGGAUUAAUGUGGGCAAAAUGUAUACUUAAACAAAUGCUCUUUGUUCCCCAUAGAUAAUUUCAAGUUUUGAAAAAACUGCCGGGUGGCUGGAGGCCAAGUUGCCUGGGUUGAGGUAAGAUGAAGGAUAACCUCACAUUUUACCAGUGAAUAGAGAAAAGACACUCAAUGAUGUCCUCUAGGAGAGAAUUCAAGGGGUGUGUGGAAGUGGAAAGGGUCUGAAGAAUUUGUUCUGUAUUUGAGCUCCAAAGCCACCAUUCUAGGCUGCAUGGCUGAAUUCCAUUACCUGGGGUCACUUGGGUUCCCUGCCCCUGGCCAGUGGCAUGGCCUGGAACGAGAAGGCUGGAAUGGGAGUUUAGGAGGCUCUGAUGUGCCUCAUGGCUGCAUCCUAAAGAGCAUGCACUCACUCCUCUGCCAGCCAAGCAACCCCAGGUGCAGAGACAGGGAAACCUCUCUAGACUAACCUAAGAAUCAAACAUUAACCCAAAGUGAGGUACUUAAACAGCUCCAGCAAGCAAGAAAAUACAAUAAAUACCAUUCCAUUUACCAGCUUUCCAAGAUUGAAAAGAGAGAGUUAGCAUUAAAAUGCAUUUAAAAAAGAAAAAUCAAGUCAGUCUACAGAAGCUGGGGGAAGGAGGGAACACAUGGAGUCACAAUUCCUUCCAAGCCCACAGAAAGCAAUAAGAGUUCUCAUUUAACCCGGGGAAAUGACUGGCGAAUCACUUGUACUUUGAAACGAUUCUAAAUUGCAAACUAAUUCCCCAGUGGGAUAUGUUGAUGGCCUACUGUACCCAGCAUAAAUAAUGAGUUUGCAACCAGGAUCCCAAAUAAAGUGGUGCACGUUUGUGGAAUUCAUGAACAAGUUUCCCCCUCCGUCAUGUGACAUUGCAAUGUUAAUGCUUCCAGUUAGGAGUUCCACUGUGUCAGCAGGUGAAUUCCCUGGCAGUAAGUCAAACUUUAAUGGGACAUGCUGGGGGAGCCAUUAUGCUGCUGCAGUGUAAACUCUGGAGUCAGUGUUAGGCUUCGAGAGGUGUGGACAUGGCCUGGUACCUAUUCUGCUUGCAGGUGUUCUUUUCUGUUUGACUUUUAAUGCUAUAUUUUAAAUUGACCGUGACAAAGUUAAGUUUCUGUCUAAUAAAGGAUUUAGAUACAAUGGAUCUACUCAAACCUUUCUCUCUCUCUCUCUCUCUCUCUCUCUCUCUCUCUCUCUCUCAAAAACCGUUUUUAUACAAGGAAGAAAUCUGAGGGUGGAGAGGGUUAAGUAGCUGGUUAGAUCAGACACACUAAUACAGAGCAGAAUUGGGACGUAUUAGUGGGAGUUCCAACUGGGAGAACUGGAACAAGGCGUUCCCACCUAGGACUCACCCACUCCUUUGUUCUCUCUUAAGGAUGCUGUCUUUCACUGGGAAAAACAAAAACAAAAAUAAAGCAGGAAAGUGCAAUAACUUUUACAAAUAUAUUUAAGAAUGUUUGACGAAAAGAGGAAUCUGAGUUAUAAUUUAAAUAAUAGGAAGCAAAACAUGUAACCUAGUGUAGCUAAACAUCCAGAUUGCAAUGAGAAAUAGAUACAUAAUAAGAUAAGUCUACAAGAUAUUUUUAAAAAUACAUAUAGGGCUUCAUUCCUUAAACUUAAAACUAGGUUGUCACUGAAGAGCAAAGAUCAUGCCUGUGAACACCACACUGAGCUGGGGAUGAGACCUGGGGUACUUACGUAUUAGAGCAAGGCUUGUCUCCUUAGCCCCUUCUCCUGGGCUCGCUCAGUGACAUGGGGAGGCUCUUGCCCUCAGAGCAGUUCUAGCCACACAGCUCCCUUGGCAUCCCAGCGCUCUGUCGCCUGUGGAUAGUCUUCCUUUACCACACUGUCUUUGGUAAAGCCCUGCAAAUACAGCAAGAUCUGAGUUCUGUGCCAGCUUGAGAAUUGGUGCCACCGUUGCAAAGCCAUGCCAUCUGGGUUUGGAAUACCAACCAAUGAUCAGCCUACACCUAAGGACCAAAGCAGAUACAGCCGCAGUGAGCCUCAGGAGGCUGCACCUCUCCGCCAGGUGGUUCUCUGGCCGACCUCUGGAGAGCCACCUGCUCUCCACCCCGGUCCUCUGUGGCCACACCCACACUUCUGCACCUUCUCCACAACAUUCAAUCCUCUUCCCUAACACUUCUUUACCAAGAUUGACCAAGACUUUCCAGAUGCUGGCAUCAAAGGAUGCGCAGGUGAAGCUGUGGUCCUACGCCUGCAAGUAUCCUUUUCACAACUUCCAAAUUCACAUCUCUAAUCUGCAUCUUUCUUCUGUGUAUUAAACAUAUCGGGUUUUUGUUGUCAACUAAAUUAUUGCAGGAAUUUACACAUGAAUCUGUCUAAAUGAAUGGAAAUCUGAGGAGAGUAACUUCUUCCCCAAAUCUACAUAAUCUUUCUGUGCAUUUAAUGAUGAAUGUAAUGCCCACCCACAAGUUGACUACACAGGUGACCCCAGGAUAGAUCCUUUACUUCUCCGUCACUCUUCAACUUUCAGUCCAAGUGCUGACACGAUUUCUCUUUUUUUCAUCUUCAUGCCUUUCCAGCCUUCUGCCUUUUUCAUCCCUACUCCACUGUGGAGGGCCUCAGUGGCUCCCUGACCAUGGGUGACUGACAGUCCAUCAAGCCCCCUCCCUGUCUGCGGCCAAGCUGCCUCCAUGUCUGAAGCCCUCACACUCCCAGCGCUCAGCUCUAGCUCAGCACUUAGGGGUGGCAUUGUUCAGUGUGUUGACUCAGCCUUCUCCAUAAGCCACCUGGUGGGAGCUAGAAGCUAUGUCUUUUAAUAUUUCAAGAUGCCUGGCCCAGAAUAAGUAUUCAAUAUAUAAUUUCUAGGUGAGUAAUUGGCCAAGUAUCUAAAGCAAAUUAUCAUAAUUGCACUCAUACAUUCCCACGUAUAUGUUUUUAUGUGAUUUUAGUUUUGUUGUUCAAUUUUGUACACUUAGAAAAUACCAGCCCAAGCACUUUUUUACUUCCCACCUUGCUUUUUAUGCUAACAAUAAACAUAUUAAUUGAAGAAGGGUUGUUUUUCUCAGGCACAUUUUAUGACUUUGUAUUUAUUAGCUUAUUUUAUUUCUCCAACAGCUACAUAGGUAGUUCUUAUUAUUAUUCCCCCCAUUUUUACACAUGAAGAAACUGAUGCACAAACAGAAGCAGAAUAGGACCAGAAGCCAGAUGCCAGCGCCAGGGACCCUGCCCUGGCUGCUGCCGUGAUCUUGCCCAAGCCACUGUUGCGCUGCUUCUUGCCUCCCUUCCAUUCGUGAGGAGUGGGCAGAGGGGAGCCUCACUCCAGAAUCAAUUGCAAUGAGCCUCCCAGCUGGAAGCCAUGGGCCUCGUCAAGCGACUAGCCUGUUCUUGUCACCAGUGGUCUGUACCAUGUGCAUGGGAUGCAGAUGGUUUCAGCAUGAAGUAAAGAAAAUUGGCCACGAGGGCUGAGUGGUGGCUCAGUGGUAGAGCACUUACCUAGCCUGUGUGAGGCACUGGGUUCGGUUCUCAGCACCACAUAUAAAUAAAUAAAAAGAAAAGUCUACUGAAAACUAAAAAAUAUUUUUAAAAAAAGAAAGAAAGGAAGGAAAGAAAGAAAAGUGACCAUGAAUGAGUUCAGAAGUGGCCAAAAUCAUUAAGAUCUAGAAAUGCUUGAGCAUUCCUUUCAGAAUCCAGAUGUGAUAAAAAAUUAUUCAAAAUACAUGUAGAACACUUAUCCUGAGUUCCAUAAAGAGAUCCAAAAGUGAUGGAGAGUCCCUUUACGAUUCUUUGUUAAUCUUCUGACAAUCCCAUGAGGAAAGAUUCAUUUCAAUCAGUGCAGAUGACCUGAGGAGCUCUCAGUCGCUCCUGGCCCUCCAGAGUCAUGGCAUCCCUAGACCUCCGAUUUUUAUAAAAUAUUUGAAAGUAAGGUUGAACGUUCCUGUUCUAAAAUACACGGCUGCAUGUGCUAAGUGCUUUCUAGAGUAUUGUGACUUGUGUCAGGGUGGUGGUGACAGAAGGAAUGAAUCUGUUCAUUUGUUUAUGCCCGCUGGUGGAAAACAAACUGAAUAUCAGCCAACAUAAUUCAGUUGACACUGUUCUGAAAUAUCCUCCUCCCACACAAAGCAGGAUUUCACAUUUGCAGAAAAUAUUUAUCUCAACAGCAAGCAAGCCCAUACUGGCUCAUUUCAUAGCUUUAAAUCACCACAUGAAGGAACGUGACCAGGCCAAGUCUGGAGUGCUCCGGCUCAGGUAGGGAUGAAGCGUGUCACCAGUUCCCAGGGGCUAUCAGGGAGAUGGCAGCAGGCUCCACAUGAAACAACCUUCGGUCAGUUGUUUUGCCCCACUGGCCAACAUGGACAGGUCACUAUGGCUUGACAUCUGCUUGAAUGCCAAGCGGAAAGUUUGAAGAAGGCAUUUCAUUAUCUCAAUCAGGAUUACGUCCUGUGCUCUUGAAUGAUAUUCCAAGUCAGGUUACAACUUUUCUCUUAUGUCUCAUAAUUGUUUCAGUAAGAAUAAAUGUUGAAAGGGAAAUGUAUCCCAUUUGUAAAAACCUUGAAACAGUUAAGCAAUGAACCCAAUUAAGUAGCCUUUUUUUCCCAGAAGAAAGUAAUGUUUUAAAUCAAUUAAUUAAUUCUUUUUAUAAGCGUGUAUUGCCGUCACCUACAACAUAGCUGUCACUGAGCUAGGCAAGAGAAGGGCAAACAAAACACAUUUCCUCUGCCUCCUCGUGGGUUACAGUGUCUUGAGGGGACAUUCAGAAAUAAGUGACUGUGGGAUAUGUUAAGUACUUUGGCAGCACUGUGAAUAAACACUGUGGAUAACAAGGCAGAAACACAGAUACUUCUUGGAGUUUGGGCAACAGCCUAGGACAGAAGACACCUUUGCUUUGUGAGUGAGUGGAAGCUCACCUGUACACCAGUAUGAGAGCAGGGAAGGCAAGAAGUUGGGAUCCACCUUUCAACUCCUGGUGCCACAGAGACAAUGAGCCUGGUUAUGGGAAGGCCGAAGAGCUGGGUCCAGGAAAAACAUAGGGGAAUUGGCCUUGAGCUUUCCUCUAAAGAGUUCUUUUUAGAUAUUUUAACUUGAGCAGGUUUGUAAAUCUCUACCCAUCACAGUCUGGAAGCUGGGGUAUAUAUAAAGCACAGAAGAAUUGCCAAGAUGCUCAAGGGGAAAUUAUAUUCAAUAGAGGCAGAGAGGAUGUAAAGACGGAUUUUUUUUUAAAUUUUUUAUUUGUUCUAAUUAGUUAUACGUGCCAGCAGAAUGCAUUUUGAUCAUUGUACACAAAUGGAACACUACUUUUCAUCUCUCUGGUUGUACAUGAUGUAGAGUCAUACCAUUUGUGCAAUCAUACAUGGUCCUAGGGUAGUGAUGUCCGUAGGUAGUGGAAUAAGGAUGGGAUUUGAAGAACUGCAGAGGCAGAGCCCCAGGGAGCUCCGCCAUUACCUAGAGAAUUCCACACUGUAACCGAGCUGUCGCUCACAGACUCCAGGAGAAGCCAGAGCCUUGGAACUGCAAAGUCAAGGAAGGUCUGACUGAAGACCUGGGUCCGGCCCCUUGUCCUGUUGCUUCCAGAUGAUGUUGCACAUACUGGGCCGGGGAGGCCACCUCACGCCACAGGCUGUGAUUAUACUUGCAUUUCAGUCACUGGUCAUUUAUGUGUGGGAACAAAGGCCAGUGGUCUCAUGGUCUCAUGUUUAAUGGCACUUCUUUUUUUUUUUUUUUUGCAUGUGGGCAGCUGCCUGUAAAUAUUUAUGAAAUGAAUGAUUUUUUUUUUUGGAAAUUUUUAUUGCCUAAAAUAGUUCCCUUUCCCCAAUUCUAGUUGUUUGUUGGUUAUUUUGAAGCCUAAGUUAAAGGAAUCUCUUCAGCUCUGAAGUAGAAGCUUUAGAAGUGAAAGGUCUGGUAAACGUGUAGUGACUGGUGAUGGAUUCCAGUUGGAGGGGCCAUGGAGAUAGGUGUUGAGCAAGGGUUGCUUAGUGUGGGAGAAGCUGCCUGAAGCCAGCGUCCAUGUUCCCUGCAAGUUCCUUUCUCUAGGAAUAUUCAGAGAACAACCUGGGUUUGGUGAGUUCCCAUAAUGGAUAUGAAAUUGGCCACUUUUGAUGUGUAGAGUUUAUCUGAGAGCCAAAGAGGUGUCAUGGGCCACAUAUUGAUACUGACUCCUUUGACAAAAGUGUGCUUCAUCUUGAUUACUUACUGCUAGAGAUGUGUCUUAGAAGCCAGACCAUGUUAGGGAAUAAAGCCGGCUAGUCUAAGCCUACCUUUAUGGGAAAAGGGAGAAUGUGAAAGUUUUUAAUGCUUUUCAGAGUCCAUCAGAAGAUAAUUUACAUUUUAGGCUACCUAUUAAGAGUCCAAUUACCUGGGUGCAGUGGUGCACCCCUGUAAUCCCAGUGGCUCUGGAAGCUGAGGCAAGGAGGAUCACGAGUUCAAAGCCAGCCUCAGCAAAAGUGAGGCACUAAGCAACUCAGUGAGAUCCUGUCUCUACAUAAAAUACAAAAUAGGGCUGGGGUUGUGGCUCAGUGGUUGAGUGCCCCUGGGUUCAAUCCCUGGUACAGCCCCCCUCCCCAAAAAAAGAAGAAAGAAAACAAAACAAAGAAAAAAAUCCAAAUGGACUAAAAGCUAAAAUAGUUCAAAUCUGAUUGUCAUAUCCACCAAUGUCUACACUGCUGGUUUAAUGCAGAACAUCCAGUUCUUUCAGAGUCCCAGAAUAAAAUUAAAUUUACAGCAAUUUUUCUUAUUAGUAUAUUUGGUAAUAUUCUGCUUAUAUGAAUAUUGGUAAGUCAUGUCAUUGUUACACAUCCAUUCAUUCAGAAAGAGGCAUUUCAGUUCAGCUAUUUGAGAGGAAGUAUGCUAGUUGUUUGGGGUGUGAAUAAAUUAGGAAGGGUCCCUGCUAAAAAUCUAGUACAUUCAAGAGGCUAAAAAUCUAGUACAUUCAAGAGGCUAAAAAUCUAGUACAUUCAAGCUGGGUCUUUGUACUUGUGUUUUCAUGGUUCUUGGGCCCAGUGGGCAUUUGUCACACUUGGCUAUAAUGUCCUGUUCACAGAUAAUGUGCAAAAAAAGAGGAGAAAGAACAUUAGGAAAAAUUUUUUAAAAAAAUAGCAAAAGGCCUUCAGUCACUUAUAUUGACAACAGCAUCUUAUUUAUUAAAAAUGCAGAUAUUCAGGUCAAAACUCAGUUAAUUGAUAACCGUAACCACACUGAGGUAAAGAAAAUUCAAGAUUCAAGGCAACUGAAAUCAUGAAUAGCUCAUUGCUCAACUUAAUUGUUCUUUCUCCUCUUAAUACCGCCUGUUAACAUUUUGCAAUUGGAAUGUUUUCCAUCUGUGCCUUUACUUGAAUGGUGUGAAUAUAGCUGAUGAAAACUAUUAUCACUCUGUCUUUCAGACUUCGAUCUGCUUUGUGGUGACACGAUUACAAGCAGAAAAAUGUUAGUGCAGUCAUCCACUUGAUGUUAUAUAGUUUUAUGUCCCAGGGUUAGAGUUUCCCAUCUGUACUUCAAACUGCUCUAGUCAUUCUUAUUGUGAUAGGGAAUACCUAGGUAGACACGUGCAGAAAUGUCACCUGUGUGAUUGAUCAUAAUUGUGAAUGCUCUGUUGCGCUCUUUUAAAGAUUCAGGGUAACACUAAAUGUAAAGAUGCUCUUGUGUUAAUAAAUAAAAAUAAUUAGAAUGUAUGAAUUUGUCCAGUGUUACUUUGGGAUAUUCUUCCAAUAAAGUGUCCUGUGUUAAGUGUGAGAUUGGAGAAAAAAGUGAGAGGUUGGACAAAUGAGGAAAUAAAAUACUUAGGCACAAGAAGAAGAGUGUGACUUAAAGAGGAACUUAAGGCAGCGAGGGUAAAUGACUAUUUUGCAGGAUGUUUACUUUGUGUUUGAAAUUAGGAAAUUUUACAAAUCAUUUGACUGCAUAGGGAUGUCAUCUACUUUCUGUGUAGUUAACAUGAUUAGAAGAAAUUUGGAUUAGAAAAAAACAACAAAUGCUUUUUUACAUUUCUAUGUCAACAGAUAUUAGCCCAUAAUUUAGGCAAGGGAGGUAUUUCCUGCUCUGACAUGCUCAAAAAUAAGCCUGUGACUUUAUAUUUUAUUUUGUUUCUGUUUUUGAGGAAAUGCAACAGAAAGAAUUGUUACCCUUGUGGCCCCUGUGUCAGGUAAUGCCCGUGCCCCAUGGGCAAGUGUAGGAACUAGUCUUAGCCAGGACACAAGAUUUCCUCCAAAGCGAGUUCUUUGUUCAGAUUCAAAUACCAGUCUUCAGAGCACAGUGAACCAAGAGUACACUGCAGACAUGAUGUGCUUGAAAUCCACAGUUCGUCUUUCAUCUGUGUAAUUACAUUGGAAGAAACAGGCAGGAGCGUGCUGAGGACAUGCCUGGCUGGGAAUUGUGCUUGGUGAGGCCUGAGUGUAGGAGCCCCUCCCAUGCCCCGUUGCAACCUUAAGCACCAGUACAGCUGAAUUUGAAGGAAGAAGUAAUUCAUGACAUGUGAGUUCAUAAGGGUGGGGCCCUGACCAGGUUGGAUUAGUGUCCCUGUUGGAAGAGACACUGAAGAGCUUCCCCUCUCUGCAAGCAUGCACACACAGCACGGCAAGCUCUGUGAGGGUCUAGGGCCAGGCAGGAGGCAUCUGGAGGCCAGGACAGAUGUGAUUUUUUCUUAAUUCCACAUUCGGUCUUUUUUUUCCUCCUGAGAGUCUCAGGAACAACAAUGAAAGCCUACGGCAGUGGGAAAGCAAAACUGUUUUUAUUUUUGACCAAGAAGAGAAUUGGGUGACACUCUCACAAAUCAGCUUCUCAGCCUGAACAAAGACUGAGAAUUCCUUUAAGGUAAGGGGAGAGGGAAGAUCUUAGGUAGCAAGCAGGAGGAUUACACAUGACUUUUCUGGAAAGGACUCCGGGCUUGGCCUGGCCUUCCCUUAUUCAUUACCAGCCCCUUUCCAGUCUAGGUCCAGAAUGGUUGGCCAAGGUGGCCGGAGGGUGGGAGUUUGACUGGGGUGAUGUGUGACACUGGAAGGUGCAGAGUCUGGGUCACCCUGGGUCCUCUGUGGCAAAGCCAGCUCUAACCUGUCAUGCAGCAGUGGUUGCCAGAGGCCCGAGUGGCCUGUUUGGUGGUUUCAUCAUCUGAGAGGAACACUGAUUGGUGAAGUGGGCUGCACUGCUCAGGGCUUUGAGGGGGUGUCUGCCCUUGACAGACACUGACCCAACUGGACCUUGACCUGGGACUUCAGCCUCUGCACUCAGUCCAUGGUAUUUUGUUAGGAUUGUAAGAGUCAAUGUGUUUUUUAUAAAAGAAGUUUAUAGCUAAUGAAUGUUUAUGGAUACUUCCUCAAAACCUCUUUUUUUGAACAACUCAUUGGAGAACACUUGCCCUCGUUGUUCUUAACGUAGGUAUUGUUCACACAAGGCCUUUGCAUUUGUGGUCCUCAGGAAUGGUUAAGAUCUAAGAUACAAGACGAGAACCAAACAGGACAAUGUUGGUUCGGAUCUUCCAGAAUCCAGCCCAUGCCUCUGCAUUUCUCUAAUCAUUAUGUUUUUCAAGAUGAUAACAAAAUGUUCCCAGUGGACAGGACAGGGACUUUGAAGUCCAGAUCCAAAUAUUCAAUGGCAAUUGAGAAGCCAGGGGACACUUUUCUGGGCGGUCAGGGAAAGGCGAGCUGCUCUGGGACUGAGUGCUGUGGGGUUGAUCACACUCGUAGUUCCCGGGAGAUGUGCUGAUUUCACAGGGCUCUUUGUGAUGGUGAAGCGUGAGCAGCCUGCCUGUGUGUGUCUCUGUGUGCGCUUCCUACACGCUCUUCCCACUUGUCCAACAUUAGGCGAAAGGCAUUUCCAAAGAGAAUUCUAUUUCUGAGUUUUCCAUGAACAUCUGCAUUUUUCAAGAUGAAAAUGAUUCUUCCUGGAUUGAUUUUAACAACAAGCAGUGCAAAGAGAGGGGAUGCGAGGCAGGCGAUGUGGCCACACACCAAUUUCCUCCCUUACACACGGUUCCUAUCACUUAUCAGAAUUUUAAUUCCACCUGCUAAGUAAUGCAGGUCGUAGAGCAGAGGUUAUGCAUGCAGCCACAGCUGAAAAUCUUCAGAUGCCUUUUCAUUAUACUGUGGGUGCACUGCAAUCUCUUCGGGCUCCUUGGGGGAUGGAGCAAAGAUUGCUGAGAUAAAGGUGAAUUACUUUAUUUAUUUAUAUUUUAACAGGGAAAGAGCCACCCGUUGAUUCGUCCAUCACAGUUCAAACUCAGCCCAUCCAUUAGCAUCACAUCUGUUAUGGUCCUUUCUACUACACGAUUUUAGAAAGACUUAACCUCAAGUAUUUAAUCAUAAUGCUUGGAAGGGAGAAAGAUCUUUCCUUAGCAGUGUUGGAGUACUCAUUGGCAGACAGCAGAGACAGGCUGGGUUAAUGUCGAUUUCUUUACUUUUUUAUAAAUGCCCCCUGUGUUACCAGCAUGGAUUUGAAGGUGAUGUAAUUUUCUUGCAAAUCCAUUAGUUUUAUAGGUUUUUGGCAAGCCCCACUGCUAUGUUGAUUAGAUAUAGUAACUGUGUCUAUUUAAACAGGGCUUUAAAUGCUUGGCUCAACCCUCUGCACUGCUGGAUAACAAGAUGUACAGUAGAUGCUCUCACUUCAGGUUGUGCUAAGCAGUGGUUUGACACAUAACUUAGUGUUUAGCCAUUUGUGAUAAGAAGCACUUUAAUUGCAGAGUUAAUUGCAGGUGCCUCCAAGAUAUACUUUUAAAUGCUCCCUACCAAAUAAGAGACAGCCUCUCCACCUCCUUAGGUGGCUUUACUCUAUCACUGUUUCCCAAAGUGUCCUCCACAGAACAGCAACAUCAGCAGCACCUGGGAGCUUGUUAGAAAUGCAAAUUCUUGGUUCCACUCCAGCUCUUCUGGAUCUGAGAGUCAGGAAGUCAGACUCUGCAAUCUACACUUGACGAAAAGUACUCCUGGGAGUCUUCCCAUGGACUUUAAGAACCACUAUAUUGGAGAAUCCCUGUCACAGGGUGCUGCUGUAUUUUGGUGCUGAACAAUUAAUUUGAAACAUAUUUGACUUAUUCUGAAUGAAUCAACUUUCUAUAUCCAAAUUAGCUAAUGCUGGAAAAUUACUACUUAAUAAUUACAAAAAGCAAUCACACAUCUCUUAAUUUUUUAAUAUGUAUCUUUACACUGAUAGAUUUGGCUUCAUUAUAAAUGUAUUAGCAUUGAGGUUUGGGGGUGAGGGAAAGUAGCUAUUCUUUAUUUUCCUUAUCUCUCUUGCCUCCUCUUUUUCAUUAUCUAAAGAAGUUAACAUGGCAUGCUCCAUUAAACAAGAUGCAGCUUUUAUUAUCUUUUAUCUCUUCCUGAACCUUUUCAAUAAAUGCUACUUGAUUACUCUUGCAUGUUGAGAGAGACAUUUAGAAUAAUCAAAACAUAAAGAAAGUGUGAUGCUUGGUUAAUCCAGGGCAGAACAACUUCCUCAACACCAAUAAAUGGGUUCAGACUAAAGCAAACAGGAAUACCACGGGAUGCCAGAGAUGCUGCUUUGCAGGAGGUACGAGGUGAGAAAUCUGUUCCAGGAAAAUAAACAAAUCAGUGGUAAAUACACUUCCUAGCCAUAGAAGUGUCCAUCUCCUGAAAGAACAGCCCUGGCCACUUAGAGAUCUGAGAGUCACUGCAGUUGCGUCUUACAAAUGAUCGCUUUAGUUGUUCGUUUGUACAUUCACUCAUUUACUUUUCCAUUCAUCAAACAUGGAGAGGUUUCCACGGGUCCUUUUGUUGUUUUGCGUUAGCUGAGCCAGAACUGUAUUUCCAGAAUCCCCUUGCCUGUGAAGUUCCAGGUGUGUUGCCUGCGAAGUCACAAGACAAAAGAUGCUUGGUUGGCAAUUGGGAUGGCAGCAGUAAAUCAGUAACAUUCUCCCUACGACACUGUGUCACUUGUCUCAGGCUUACCUUGUUGGAAUGGGACAUUGCUGGCCCCACGGGCCUUCCAUAUCCUAUUGAACUUCCUCCUUUGGUCUCCCAGAUUCCUGGACUGUAUGUGGGUUUACUUUUCUUACAAAAGAUGCCAGAUUUUGCUUCUGGUCCAACGGUCAUGAAAAGUAGAUUCUCCAUGGUUAAAGGUAGACCCCUGUGAAUUCCAUGCCGCACUUGCUGGUUCCAGCGGGUCCCCCUCCGUUCCCAGGUGAGUCCUUGCUCAGCUUUCUUUCCCCGCAAUUCCUGUCCACGUUUCCUGUGUAAGGUGGGCCUUCUCAUCCUGCACUUCAGACCCAGGUUUUAAGCAGCUCUUGCAAUUUUAUAAAGUCAAAUCCACACAGUGAAGUUUUUAUUAGUGUCAUGGUCCAUUGAGAUUGCUGUAACAAAAUGCCCAGGCUGAGUGAUUUGUAGGAGUUUCUCUUUCACAGUUCUGGAGGCUGGGAAUUCAAGAUCAAUGGACCAGCUGACUCAGUGAGGGCUGUCCUGCUUUCAAGACGGCACCUCCUUGCUACAUCCUCUGGAGUGAGGCCUGUGUCUUCACCCGACAAGGGCAGCAGAGUGGAAGAGCUGUGCUGGUCCUGUAGCUCUCUCACAAGGGGUAAGAUCCCAUCGGUGAGGACAGACGUCACCUGGUCACCUCAAAGUCACGGGAUCUUCACAUCAUUGCAUUGGAGAGACACAAACACUGUAACCUAGUGAACACCGUCACUCCUAGUGAACAUGCAUCUCUGAUCAAAACAUCAUGCAAAAUUUGGUACUAAACAGUGUUCCAAAGGAACUGAAUCCUGACAAUACUUUCUUCUAAUUGUUUCUAAGAUUUCUGGAAUUCAUUCUAUGUUUUGUUCAGAUUUACAGGCAUUUCUGUACUUCAGUGACUGCCUCUAAACUCUGUGACCAAGUACAUUCAGAAGGUAUGAGCUUAUUGACAAAGGAUGCAAUUUCAAAAGCCCCAAAUUCCUGUGACUUACAAGCCACAAGAUUUGUUUCUGACUCAUGAUCCCCAGAGACACCCUCAGAGGGGCUGCAGCUGCACCCCACCUGCCUUCUCCAGUGGAAGUCACCACUGUCCUGGCACAAGGCAGGUCUCAAGUGCUGGCUGGUGCAUAGGGACCUGCCAUUGGUCAUUUACAUUCAUAUUCUGUUUGCAAAUAUACUGGUUGACAAAACCUGGGUUUCACAAGGUUUCUCUUACAACUUAGGACCAUGAAACCAGCCACAGCAAUUUAUUAGAUGACCCUAAAGGGGUUGGUUAUGAUUUCUUGGAGGCCUGAAAAGCCAUCUCAAAGCCCAGAGCAAAAACAUCAUGAAACAAGAUUAUGGUGAAAGAAGAGAUAAAUAAACAAUAAUAGUCCCAGAUGAGGAAAAAAGCAAUUAUGGAAUGGAAGACAGACAUUAUGUAAGCAAAUAAUAAAAUAAAGUUUUUAUGAGACAAAAUAGAAAGUUCUGUUUUUGUUCCAUGCUGAAAUGAAGAGAAAAAGAUAAAUCUAGAAAGUUCCUGGUAAAAAUUUCAACUGUAGGAACUGAUUUAAUAACAGCAAAAACAACACCAAAGGAACCCUCUUCUGGAGAGAAGUAAGAAAAUUUUCCCAAAGGGGGGGAAAAGUCAGGUUGAUAUCAGGCUUUUCAUCUCUAAACACUGGAAGCUACAAAGAAAAAAAAAAGAACAAGGAGGAGGAGGAGAAAAAAGAAGGAGGAGAAGAAGAAAGAUCCAAAGAAGAAAGGAGGGGAGGGGAAGGGCUCUUGGACAAUAGCCCUAAACCAGCCAGGACCUCGCUCUCUGGUGACAAUGACAGGUACACAGCAAGAGGGGGAAGUGAGCAUCAGACAGGAGAUGUGGCCACACCUCAGGGGUUCACGCAGCAGGCCCAAGAGCGCUGGGAAGGGUCUGCUUCCAAAGUAGGCGAGGUGUGAAGGCCCAGCAGGAGCCAGACCUCCCAGUGCAGAGGAGGAUGGAAGAACCAGAAAGACUAAUGACAACUCCUUUUCCUGUUCCCCUGGAACUCCAAAGCACCGUGGUAUUGGCUUUAGAGACUUCACAGAAACGUCUCACGUGCUUCAGUGGUUAGGAGAGUUGAGAUUUCUGCAUCUUGAAUAUUGGAUGUCCUGGGCACGUGGCUUUUGUUCCUCAGAGCGCGAGUGUCCUCUGUUAUGUCCACUGAUUUGCACAGGUUGAACCAUCCUUGCGUCUGUGGUAUAAAUUCCACUUGAUCGUGGCGUAGUCUCUUGCUCAUCUCUUGAAUUCCAUCUGCCAGUAUUUUGUUGUGAACUUUUGCAUGUGUGCCAUCAGGAAUCCUUUAAGAAAUUUUGAAACAGAAAAGACAUAUAGUCCUUGGUCUCAGUCUGCUGUAGCCGUUUGGUGGAAGAAGUAAUAACUAUCUUAGUUUUAGUGAAAAGUGUGGUUGUAAGUAUGUUUGUGGUCAUAACAACAGUAACCCUCUUGAUUGGGAAAUCUCCAUAGAAUUCCCAAGUUAACAAUGGAAGAAAGAAACAAAUAGUAGCUUAAUUAGCAGGAUUUAAAAAAAAAGAUGGAGGGGGAGUGAGAAAAACAACAAAGUACAAUAUAGAAAAUUAUAAAAGGAAAUUUCAUAAGAACAUCAUUGUAACAGACUGACAUGAAUGUAUAACUUUCGUCUUUUUUUCAGAAGAAAAUGAAUAGUCUUAAAAGCUUUUGAUGGCACAUGCCUGUCAUCCCAGCAACUCAGGAGGCUGAGGCAGGAGGAUCACCAAGUUCAAGGCCAGCCUCAGCAACUUAGUAAGGCUUUGUCUCAAAAUUGAAAGUAAAAAGAGCACACACUAUCUGAACAAUUCAGUGCACAGAGAGGAUUAAGCACUGCCAGAGGAGAGAUCACAGAGGUGAGCCAUCUAGGGGGGAAAAUGGUUCAAGAACAAUAGUUUCAGCCAAACAUUAAACCUUCUUUAAAUGUAGAUCAAGAAACUCAGUACUUUGUUUGAUUUAUGAAAGCCUAUGGAAAACAUUAGCAUCCUCUAGGUCCAUUAUUAAAUCAACAUUAUUUCGAUACCAACACUUGAUAAAGAUACCUGUAAAAAAGAAAACUGUAAACAAAUCUCAAUAAUAAGGCAAAAAUUCUAAAUGACAUAAUAGCAAGAACCAUCAGUCAUGUAACAAGAGAACAAUGCACUGAGUCCUCCGGGUUUCUUUCAAGAGUAGAAGGGUAGUUUAUAGGGUUAUAAGGCCAAAGGGGUAAAGGAUUUGAACAUUAUCAAGAUGCUCAAAAGUAUUUGGCAAAAUUCUGCAGUCAGUUCUAGUAAGAAUUCUAAAUAAUUUGAAAAUAAAAGUAGAAUACAUAAAUGGCAAAUGCUAUAUAUAAAAAUAAUAGCAAAUAUUAUCAUAAAUUACAAAAAUCGAAAAUAUUUCAUUAAAAAUUAGGGACUAGGUAAAGGUUUCCACCAACACUAUCAUUACUAUUUUUUUUAACAUUUAAACAAAAGCAAAAGAUAAGAAAAUAAAAUAACAUAAGCAUUUGACAAAUAUAGUUAUAUUUGUUGAGGAUAUAACUGAAGAUGGAAAUACCUUAAGAGAUACUUGUUAACAAGCCUAAUAAUUAAUGUGAUUACCUGGAUAGUUUAAUCAGUGGCUUUUUAUCCAAUCUGGAAAUGACAAUAACUGUACAAAAAACAAACAGCGAGGCAUGGUGCUACAUGCCUGUAAUCCCAGCAGCUCAAGAGGCUGAGGCAGGAAGAUCACAAGUUUAAGGCCAGACUCAGGAACUUAGUGAAGCCCUAAGUAACUUAGUGAAACCCUGUCUCAAAGUAAAAAGUAAAAAGGACUGGAGAUUGGAGCUCACUAGUAGAGCAUCUCUUGGUUAAAUGCCCAGGACCAAAUAAAUAAAUAAAUAAAAGAUAAAACAAAAAUGCUGAGUAAUUAUAUUUACAAACAUGCUAUUUUUUAGAGAGAGAAAAUGAUACGUCUUACUAAAUGAUUUAAUACUCAACACAUCACAAUUUCCUGGAUGACACGAUUUUAUGUUAUAAGACAAUGAAUAUGCAUACACAUAGGAAUGUAUUCCAAAUACCGUCCCCAACUUUUAGAUGGAGCUGACUGUUGGUUUAUGAAAAGAAAUGGGUGAGAGGAAACUACCCUCAACCUGUGUUAGGUGAACCAUGUUGUUCCCUUAAUGAAAUGACUAUCAUGCUGGUGUCAGAAUAAGCACAUAGAGUAAAUAGGAAUAGAAUGAACAUUUGAGUUAGUAGGCCUUUUAACACAUGACAAGGAAGUAGUUAAUUCAAUGAAAAACAGAUGGAUUUUUAAGCAAAUAUGAUGUGUAAAAAUGGUGGGCUCUCUGGGACAGGAUAUACAAAGCCUUCGGUGGAAAGCAAGUGAGCAAACACCUAUAAAAACUCUACUAAAUAGUAAGAAGACUCUGUAUAUAUAGCUGUUAGUGGUCAGUGGCCAUAAUAAUUGCUUCUGGAAAACUGGGAGUUACUACCAAUAAGUCUAGUCUACUGUAUAUAAAUAAGACGGUGGAAAUAUAGUCAACAGGCAAUGACCAGUCCAUGAAACUUUUUAAUCUGAUGACAUACAAAGAGUUAAUAAAAAAUGAGGUCUCACAAAUAGGAAAACAAAAAGUUUAAUAUAAAUUGGCUAAAAAUACAGCUCAGGAAUUCACAGAUAACUGAAACCUCAUCUGUACAUGCACAAAUCCUGCCAUUUGCAAGAACAUGGAUGGAACUAGAAAUCAUUACGUUAAGUGAAAUAAACCAGGCACAGAAAGUCAAAUGCUCCACAGUCUCACUCAUCUGCAGAAUUUAAAACAGGUGGAUUGAGAUUAUAAAGGUGGUCACCAGAGGCUGGGGAGAGAAGGAAGUGGGGAUGGGGGAAGGCUGACCAGUCAGCAGCAAGACCUGGGGUGCUACUGCACAGCAGCGUGGACUGUUGAUAGCCAUGAUGUCCUGUCAUUUCGUAGAGCUAUAAGGAAGCAUCUUGGAAGCCUUCAUCAUAAAGAAAGCUAGGAGGAAAUCACCUUUCCAUAUUGGGGCUGUGGGCAGAAGAGCAGGCUUAUCCAUAGAGAUGACAUAUGUGAACCAUGCGGUCUUUUUAAAAGGCAGCUGGCAAUAUUAUAAUUAAAAUGCAAAUAUCCUUUUAAUCCAUCUCAAAGUGCCAUGGACACACUGUGAAAAGGCACUAAGUACCAGGGCAGCAUUAGUGUAGUGGCCACCACUAGAAGCCUGUAGUGCCCAUACAUGGAAGAAUGUCACCUAGGCAAGGUCGUGUCUAUCAUACUUUUGUGUCUAUGUGAUGUUCUCAUAUUCUGGAAGACUUUUUAUCAAACAAUAGAAAUAUAUUAAUUCUUACAAGAGUGACUAUCUACUGGACUCCAAAGUUUACCUCCAAACUCAAUUUUUCUCCUCUGAUCAAAAAAGGAGCAAAAUUGAAAACCAUCAAUCAAAAGUUAGCCAAAGCAGCAAGAGCAAUGACAGCAGCCACAAUGACAAACGAUGGAAAGUUCUCGGGUUUGAGAUAAACUGAUAAUUAAAAUUACAAACACCUGCAAUUGGAAACACUAUAAGUGUUUAACCUGUUCUCACCUUCCUGCCUUCUAUUCUUUACAACCAUUGUUCACACUGUAAUAAUUUCGUACUAUAACCAGAAUGUUAUUAUGACAUGAAUGUGCGUUCAUAUUGCAGUAAAAUAUGCAUGUGGGGAUGUAGUUAAAAGUCAGCCAAGAAAAGAUAGUUAAAAAAAAACCACCACCUCAAUAGUGGGUUAAAUACAAAGCUAAUAAAAGUGAUGCAGUGGUUGUAAAUGAGAAAGCAUGAAGUCUCACCCACUCUCACCUCUCCACCCAAUGUUGCGAGAGAGUCCUGUGUGUGAUGCUCUUGAGUCAAGGCUCACAUUUUACAACAUUUGUGUUCCUUGAUGAACCACCACACCCCAGCAGUUGUCCUCAGGUCUAUAUUUCGAUGAACUUGACCUUUCACACUAGUUAUUUCAGCACAGCUUCUCAAUGCAUCUCUUAGUUGGUUAAAUUGCAACCCUGAGAAUUCUUGCUUGACCUUUAUUGUACAAGGGCUCCCAACUGCUGUCUUCCCUGAGAUCUUUUUUCUGUGUCUGACAAGGUCUCUCCUGCCUUUGCAGCCAGCCGGCUGUGCAGGAGAACAUCUUGGUUGUCACUCUGUUUCUCCAAGGAGUUGGUGUCUAUUGAUUGCUUCCCUCUCUUUUAUCAUUUCCUGUUCCUUUGGAGAAGGAGUAUUGAUUCUCCCUUUUAAAGCCUAGUGUUUUAUGUUGGGAUCACCAAGGAAAUAUUUCUUUGCCUUUAAGUGUGUAGCUGCUCCAAGGACAUGACUUGGCAUUAAUCUCUCUGUCACAAUCUGUUCCUAGCAUAUAGUCUAAUAGUACAAUUUUCAGAUUCAGGUAUGACUUAUUUUUGAAAGUUUUAUUAAUUAUGUUAGGGAAGAGAAUUCAGUUCUAUCUCUCAUCUUUUUUGAAGAAUUGUAUGUGUGCUAGAUAACUUUUAUAGCUACCAUUUUUCACUUAAAAGUCAUUUCACUCAUGAUGUCUUUUAUAUUGAUGUUGUUUUCUGUCAUUUUUUAAAAAUUUCUGCUGCUUGCAAUAUGAUUUUUAUUUCUCUUUCUUUCAUUGUUCUUUUAUUAUUUAUUAUAGAAACAUGUUUUUUUUCCAAAAUAUUUAAUGAGAAGUACCUAUUUGUCAUAUUAAAUUCAUUUGAUCUUCUAUGCAAAGAUUCAAAUUAAUUAGAGCAUUUGGAAGCAGUAAGUCCCUUGAGUGUCUGUCAUACGAUUUGGGGGAGAGUCGAGUCGUACAGAUAUCAGCUGUAGAAGUAAGAGUCCUAGAGAAUAAUGUGGAGGUGAAUGCAUCUGUUUGGAAACGGGCCAUGUGUACAGGUGGCAUAAGACAGGUGAUUCUUGACAGCAUCAGGAUUAUUGUCUUAUUCUUGAUUACACCUUCAGGGUCACAUUGAAAUCUUCCACACAUUACACUUUUGCUCAACAUUGCUUGACUAAUCAAUGAGAAAAAUAUCAAGAGCAGAAAUCAGGGACAGGUUAUUCUAGUCCAGACGUUAGUGCCAGGUCACAGGACAUCCAGGUCUUUCUUUGCAUGUUCUCUCUUCCAGUCUCUUGGCUACCGAGAGUAUGGUCUCUUCAUUUCCCUUCCCUUUCUUCGCUUCCUUGCUUCUUUUUGGUCCUGGGGAUUGAGCCCAUGAACUACAUACCAAGCUCUUUUAUUCUUUUAGACAGGACCUCACUAAGUUGCUGAGGCUGACCUCAAACGUGCAUCCCUCCUGCCUCAACCUCCCUAGUCACUAGGAUUAUAUUCCUGUACUACCAUGCCUCACACUUUCUAAUGUUAAUAAAAUGCAAGGAAUAAAAUGCCGUCAAGAUUCAACACAAUGACUCUUCUUUUCAUCUUAAUGGAGAAAAAAAAAGAAACUUCAAUAUCCAGUAACAUAUUAGGUUCCAAAGAAUGAAGCUUCUACUGAAAGUAGCUAAAAAGGCUGGAAAACCCCAUAAUGCAUCAGCUUGUAAGUGUGAAUGAAAUGCAAGGGAUUGAGAAACUCUCAGGUCAGACAGGACAUGACAGUGGGAAACUGAAGUCAAACAGAGCCAUGACGUUGGUUUUAAAGAGCAUAAUUUGUGAAGCUGGAUGGACUUGUUCAUCUGUAUCAGAUCUUUGUAAUUCUUGGAGUAGGUGAGAGGAGUCCAGUGCCUACUAAGAGGACCUUCUUAUCUUAUCUGGAAUGCUAAACUAGCUGCAGAGGGACUGCAAGCAAAAUGUGCCUAUUUUAACCUUGCUGCUGACCUGGGAACUGGGAUGACCCCUCUGAAUUUGUAUCCAUAAGCAGACCCUCAUUCAGGUUUGCAGAAUGGCUUUAUAGCUCUGUAGUCUGAAAAUAUCAAACCCAUGAUUUAGAGUAAAGUAAUUCUGGAAUUUUAUUUAUACAGGGGUCUGAGAAGAAACAAGUACAAAACCUCUCUGUAGGAUUUCUAGUCUUCCAGACUUCAAAUAAAUCAUAUAAAAAUGUUUAUAAUUAAAACUCACUCAGUGAGCACGUUACUACAUUCAGAAGGAAAGAAGAUAUCAGACACAAUGAGGGAGAGCCAGCAGAACAACAGACUGCAAAGACUGAUCUGCAAAUGCUUCUGUUACUAAAAUUAUCCAACACCUAAUACUAAACAAUUGCAUUUUGUAUAUCUAAAAACAUACAGUUUGAAUAUUUUGAAAAGAAGAAGAGUCUAUCAAGAUGGGGCAGGCAGAUUUGAAAGAGAAUCAAAUAGUGCUGCCAGAGAUGAAGUAAAAUCAGAGUAAUUUUUAAAUAGCAAGUGUAGUGUCAGGCAAGAUAAAGCCGAAAGAAAAAUUAGUGCUCCAAAAUAUGUACGUAAGGAAAUUACCUCCAAUUUAAUAGAUGGAUAGAUGGAUGGAUGGAUGGAUGGAUGGAUGGAUAGAUAGAUAAUUACCAGAAGUCAGGGAGAGAGAAAUUGACAAAAUGGCAUUAAAGAGAUUCUGUGCUAUAAAAUACAUCCAGCAAGGUUAAGAAGAUUAUUAAAAUAUAAAUAAUGUUCUCUGAUCACACAGAAAUUAAUAGAGAGAUCAAUUUAAAAUAUAGUAAAAUUCUAUGUACUUAGAAAUUAGUAAAUAUUCUCCCCCAAAGAAUUCAUGAGGCAAAAAUAAAAGAUAAUAGUAAUUAGGAAUUUAUAAUUAUACAUUAUAAAUAAAUUUAUACAUUAUAUAUAAAUUUAUAAUUAAAAUUAUAAAUUUUGGAAAUAGAAGUAAAUUAGUACUUAAAUAAAAAUUUAUAACCUUAAAUAAUUUUAGAAGAAGAGAAAUAUUAGAAAUAAAUAGCUAUUCAUCGUACUUCAAAAUGAGAUAAGAGUAAAAGAAACAAAAAGUUGUGCUUUUAAAAAGACUAAUAAAAUGAAUAUACCAUUAGUGAGAUUAAGAAACACUAAAUUCAUUAACAAAAAGGAAUUAACAUUAGAAAAUAAGGAAUGAAAUACAAAGCAUUACUGUAGGUAUUCCAGACUUCUAAAAUGAUAACUGUGUGUUAAUCAGCUUCACUCCAUUGUGACAAAACACUGAGAUAAAACUGCCUGAGAAAAGGGUUACUUUCAUGUAUUAGCCUUAGGGAGACAUUCAAAAUUCAAACCACAACACUGUGAUUAAAAACAAAACAAAAACAUUUCUUUGAAAUUAAAUUUGAAUAUUUAUAGGAAAGAAAACUUCCUAAGAAUUAUAACUUACCCAAAGAGUCAGAUUAAUUAUUUUAGAAACCUAAAUUGCUUUAUGUCUGAUAUUCUGAGACGUUAUUAUAAUGUCUUCUUACAAAGUAAACCUCUCUGUGCUCAGAGAGGUUGUUCUGUGAGAAUAUUCAAAACAAGGGGAAAUAAUUCUAAUAUUACCUAAACUUUCCAAAAUAUUGAAAAAAAAUAAAGGACCUUUCCAAGUGAAUAUUACCCAAACUUUCCAAAACACUGCAGAAAGAAAGGACCUUUCUAAGUUAAUUUCAUCAGUUAGUAUAACCUUGGUUAUAAAAUUCCACCAAAGACUGUAGAUAAAAGUGAAAUUUCCAAUUUACUGUCACAGAGACUCAAGUAUCAUAAACAAAUCUGUGCUGUUUGAAUAAAUAGGUACAUAAGCAUAACACUUGAUGAAAGGGGAAUUUAACUCCAUGAAUUUGAAGUUGGGUUAACAUUUAAAAAUAUGAGUAAUCAUUUCAAAAAGGGAAAGAGAAUAUCAUGUGAUCAUUUUUUGGAAGUAGAUACAGUGCUUAGUAAAAUUCAAUCUCUAUUCAUGUAAAUAUAGGCAAAUUGGGAAUAGAAUAGAAUUUACUAAAUCUGACAAAUGGUAUCUUUCAGAUACAGCCGAUAUCGUAUGGUAGGCAGCCAUUAUAUGGAAGGUGUUGUGCUGUGGUUUGGAAUGUGCUAUGGGCUUCCCAUUGGUAACUUCUGGGCUUAUCUGGGGCUUGGAGGUUUCCCAAGCUGGAGUACUGAGUGUCUGGGGAACUGUGAAGGGGUCCUUCCACCAGGGUAGCCUGGUGUCUCUGGGUAGGCAAGGAUCAGCUUAACUCAAGGGGACAAAAGUCCUCAGGCUCCUUCCCAUUGGCUGCUCCUUUAGGUUCUACCCACUGCACUAGUGUCUCUGGGUGAGGAAGGAGGGUUGGGCUCCCAAGGACAAAGAAGCCUCGCUGGACUAGGCUGCUUCCUAUGGUCUCUCUUGACAGGUCUACUAUAUUACGUUGGUAAGUCUCUCUCUCUCUUUUUUAUUGAUUUUAUUUUUUUUAAAUACAUGACAGUGGAAUGCAUUACAAUUCUUAUUACACAUAUAGAGCACAAUUUUUUAUAUCUUUGUAUAUAAAGCAUGUUCACGCCAAUUCAUGUCUUGAUACAUGUACUUUGGGGUUUUUUUUUUUUUGCAUUUCAAUUCUUAUUACACAUAUAUACCACAUUUUUCAUAUCUUUGUUUGUAUAUAAUGUAUGUUGAUUGUUUCUUUUGCUGAGAAAAAAAAAACUUUUUAGUUUGAUUCCAUCCCAUUUAUUGAUUCUUGGUUUUAAUUCUUGCGCUAUAGGAGUCUUAUUAAGAAAAUUAGGGCCUAAUCCCACACGAUGAAGAUUAGGGCCUACUUUCUCUUCUAUCAGACGCAGAGUCUCCGGUUUAAUUCCUAGGUCUUUGAUCCAUUUUGAGUUAAGUUUUGCCAAAAACAUGCACUGGAGAAAAGAUAGCAUCUUCAACAAAUGGUGCUAGGAAAACUGGAAAUCCAUAUGCAACAAAAUGAAAUUAAACCCCUAUCUCUAUAUUACGUUGGAAUCUCUUGGUGAGAAAGCGGAGUCUCCGUCCUUUUGGAGAGAAGUGCUUGCUGGGCUGCUUAUAUCUGGUGGGACCCUCCACUGGUCUCUCUUAUUGGUGCUGCCUGCUGUGCUGAUGGGGGCAGAGGGAACCCAUUUAGCCUGGAGCAUUCUGCUGAAUCAGGCACUGGAAAUGUUGGGUCUGGGCGGUUCCUCUGCUGGGUGGUGUUCUGUUCUUCUUACAGCCUCUCCUUGGUCUCCUUUGGAUGACUCUUGUGCCACGUCCAGGGUUUAUCGUCAUGCUUAGGGGGAAGGAGGAAGGAGGAAUGAUCAUAAUCUCUUCUCCAGACUGGCAGUGUCCUUAUUAGUUUUUAACCUGUGCACAUAUGGUGUGGAUCCCACUCUGUUGCUUACAGAUUUUUGUAAUAAUGUGAAAUUUAUAAAACAGAAUGCUUAGUAGGUUAAAUUUUUUUUUUUGAUUGCCUGCUGUCCCCUUAAACUUACUCCUGAGUCCUAUAGGAAAUACAAAACGUGUUUGUACAUGAAUAAAAAUAUUUUUCCUAACUAUAAAGAGGAGAUCCAAAAAGCAUUGUCAGUAAUCUGUUAUCAUUCACUAUCUAAGCCAUCAGUCCAUACAAAGUUUAUAUGUGGUAAAUUUAUUUAUUAUACUGUAUAAAAUACAUUUAUUUAUUUUAUAUCCUGGAUAUUUUAAUUUAUUUGGAAAUAUUAUUUGAUGUUUAUCUGAAAACUACACAAUAAAUUGAAAUGUAAUUAAUAAUUUCUUUCUGUUGAACACAUGAUACAUAUCUGUUGUUUUAAAUGUAUUGUCAAGGUUGCGGCCAUAACAAAUCUACAAAGAUAGCAUUAUUAUCCACAAAUAUAAAUGUGAAAACUAUUUAUUCUUCUCUAGCACACUUGACUAUGACCACAGCUGCACAAAAUGCUCAUAUGUCCUUCCAAAGGUCAUAUUCUUCACACUGUACCACUUUCUUUGAAAAAAAAAUGGUGAUAUCAAACUAUGCUGUAUAAAAGAAAAAAAGUUAAUGAACUGUUCUAAUUUUCUCCCAUUAUUGUAUUAUUUCAUAAAUCCAAAACAAUAAUUUAUAUGUUCUUGUUGAAACAAAUAAAUGAAAUCAAAUGCCCCCGAAAUUAAAAAUACAUAUACAUAUUGAAAUGAAAAAUACUGUAAAAAACAGGAUCCAAGACACCUUUGUGUCUGUUUUUUGCUUGAUUCCUUUUUGAGAUUCUAUUAGAAUUGUGAAUACAUGGUCAAAAUUGAAAACAGAUAACAGAUUGAGGGAAAUACAUAUCCCAUUAAAUUUAAAGCAUUAUUUUCUUCCUUCACCCAAUCUCAAAAAGUAUGUGGACAGUAAGAAUGGCUUCCUUCAUUUACAUUGGAUUCUAUUACUCUCAGGUUGAUACAAAUAUUUGGGGGGAAGUAAGAUUAAUUGCAUUUUAUAAGAAUAACUGAAUUCUCAAUAUAUUCACAGAAUUGACUUGUGGUUUUAAUCUGAAAUAUUUUUUCUAGUGUUAAGAUUGUUAAGUACCUCCUAAGAAGCAAUUUCAUUCUGAGGUGGGACACUGAAGACAAUUUGGUUUUUUAUAUUUUUUUAAUUCCCAGUGAAUGUUGUACUUGUGGAAAAAGAGAGUACACCCCAUUUGGUCAUCUCAAAAAUCGUGCUCCAUUUAACGUCUGAGCUUGGAUUUGUUCCUGAGUUUCCACACACAUUUGAGUGGAACAUGCACACCUUUAAAUGAAACUGGAUGCACAUUUCACUUGGAGAACAAAGGUUAAAAACCAACCAACAUUCUUUAAUAUCCAUAAAUGUCAUCAUUCAGAACCCCUUGUGAAAUUUUUUAAAUAAGAAACAUACUUGGUAUCUUUUUUUAAUCAUAUUCUUCCUUUUAUAAAUGGGAGUAACUUCUUCCAACAUUAAUAUCAAGUACAUGAGCCUUGCCAGGAAUCUUGUGUUUCUCUGGGUUGAAAGCAUCCAGUCAGAUCUCAUAUAGCAUUCACCUUUCUUCUGAAAACGCUUGGAUCACAGCCCUGCCCUACUAAAUAUUUCCUUAACCUUUUUAAGGUCGAGGAUUUUUAUUUUCUCCUUUCUUCUUAAUAUAGCAUUAAACUCCAAGUCCCACAGCGUAUGCUGCGUGCUGCUUCUCCUCCGAGGCUUAACUGCAGAAGGGAGCCUUAUUGGUGGGCAUAAACCAAGCUGCUUCAAGGGGAGGACACAAUUAGCUGCUGAUUGCUGAACUGAAAUAUGGAGCCCAGUGUUACCAUUGAUUUGAACGCGAAGCCAGAAGCAAAGACACAGAAGUGCCCUCGGAGGCUGGCACCUACAACCUCCCUCAGGAAGAAACCAAAACCAAAGGAAGCAGAGGACUGGCUGACUCCCAGCUCUCCCUGUUUAAGCUUCUUUAGCGAUUCCUAAAGCAGUCGCUGACUCGGAAUUGCCUCUGUCUCUGCUGACACGAUCCACUUCUGCGUUAACGCUCUCCUACUUCUAAGCAGCAUGGAGAGAGGUUUGGAGAUGCAGGGGCAGUGCUGUUAAACAACGGUAACCUAGUCUUCAGCUGCCCUAUGACCCAUCAGUCCCAUUCCCCCUGAGGAGCCCUAGUGUGAGCCUAGCACGUUUUGCUUGUCUCCCACGUGGCCACUGAAGAUCUAAUUCUUCACUGCUGUAAAUACAUUCUUACAUACAGCCUGUUGCUGGGCAUGAAUACACAGUUUCUCUGGCUCAUCCUGAAAACCAGUUGGGUGUGAUUGACAUUUUUGGUUUACAGUAAAUCUGACAUUCUCUACGUACACCAUUUCACUUUAGCACAACAGAUUCUUAUUACACAUCUAAUGUGUGCCAGGUCCCUGGUGUCAGAUUCCUCUCUGAUCCCAUCCAGUCUCAAGCAGCACAUUCUAAGAGCCAGAGUUUGGGCUGAUAAAAUAACCCCAACUCUACUCCUAUUGUCUAUAGCCUUCCUGUUCUCCUCUUGUAGCUAACAAGUCUCCAAAACAGCGUCUCCAUCCACAUAUCGACAGCUUCACAAAUACAGCAUUAUGUUUCUUUCAGUCACAAAUGAUGCCUCCCCUCACAUACCAAUUUUUGGUUUCGGUUUUAUACACAUUAGUUUGGGAAGCUAAAAGCAAUAUAAAAUAAUUUUUGGAUCUUUUAUUGGUCACGAUAAAAAUUGAUAAAAAUUGAGCAUUUCUGGUGAAGAUUAUGGAUCCAUAACAGCUAAAACAGGACACCGUGUUCAAACCUGGUAUUUGGUUUCCACUGAAUGAUGUGAAGAUAUGUAAUACUCUCUCUGUGAGCUUUCUUUUCAACUAUUUCAUGUCUUACAGUUAAAAAAGCUACAUAGUAAAGAUGCCUGCUAUGAUACUGUAAAUUUUAUGUAGUAGGCACAUCUCAACAAUAUCCUGCAGGUUUUUCCUCAUAAAACAAAUGCUGUGGACAUGUUUAUGUAUGUUCUAAUUAAAAGCUGUUAUUGAUGGGUUAUAACUUGCUUUAAAAGUGUCUGUGGCAUAAAUUUCAGAAGUUUGGUUUUAUUUUAAUCCAGUGACCUGUUUUCCAGGUUCUUUCUGGGUAAUUGAAGGGCUGUUGAUUCCAUUCUCUCCAGCACAGUGAUAUUUUGACUAUGGAAGUUUUAAGUGAAAUGGAUCAUUUGUUGGAUUGGAGCUAUUGUUUUCAUAACUUACGUAUCUAGUGUUUAAUCUUCAACUGCUUGUGGAGAUAUUAGAAAACAUGGGUUUUUCUCUCUUAUUUUUUUAUCUAGAGCUUAAGUCGGCGCCUUACACACACAGUUAGUACCCUGUAAAUGACUGUUGGAUUCCUGAGUGAUGAUUACAGCUAUUAUACACACCAAACCUUUUCUAUCUUGCCAUUUUCCUUCCUGGUUCUCCUUAGUUUACCAUAAAUGGUGUAUUUCUUCUCUGUUUGAAAAUGCAAUGGUGCUAACCCAGAUGGUAGGGCUCAUGCAGAUAAAUCCAAAACCUGCUCAUUCCUUAAAUCCAUUUUUAAUUAAUGACAGUGAACAUUUAAUUUUAAGCGAAGCCUCAGCAAAGCUCAGACACCCCUCCUUACUCAGAAACUCCAAUGAUAGUAGGUAGGACCGCUGCAACUCCUCCAUCUGGACAUUAGCGCAUUCCUCAGAGGUGUUACUCACAUCCACAAAAUCAUUAUGUUGCACAGUCUUGGAUGUCACCUGCAUUAGCAUUGAUGGUCGCUCAUUUUCACACACUUGUUCCUCUCAUGAGAUGCUUUGGUUCACAGGAAGUCUUGCCUGUCACACAGGGCCCAUUACUCAUGCCACAGGGUUUUUCCAAGUGACUUCAUCUGAAGACUGAAAAAGCCAGGAUGCCAUGGCUUUUAGCCACUCCCUGAAUCCCAUAUGAAGUGGCUCACCCGCCCGUCCACCCCUAGGCAGUAAGACUCCAGGAGCUGGUCACUUCAACGAGGAUCUCACUCUCUUGUUGAAACAGGUGUCAUGUCAAUUUUCUCUCCCCAUCUGCAGACUCUGGCAACCAGUGAUCUACAUUCUGCCCCUAUCAUUUUGCUGUCACCAGAAUAUCAAAUAAAUGAAAUAAUCCAGUAUUUAGUUUUGAGAGUUGGCUACUUUCAUAAGCCAAAUGCAUUUGAAAUUCAGUGAUUUCAGGACCAUCUACAUUCCAGCCCAUCUGUGUCAGGUUUCGGCUCUCCUUCUCUGACCUCUCCAUCACCAGUAAUAACUCAGUCUCCAUGAAGUGUUAGAUGGCACUGCUGGAUCAUUUGUAUUACAGGUAGUCUUGGGUGACCACACAGGUGGCCAGAGCAUGGUCAGCAAGCAGUGAGUUAAUUUUUAAGGCACUUUAAUAAGUUGGAUAUUAGCAAUGACUUAAGAAUUCAAACAACAUAGACAAGGGGAAAAUGGGAGUUCAUAACCCACUUGAAUCAAAUGUAUGAAAUAUGAUAUGUCAAGAGCUAUGUAAUGUUUUGAACAACUAAUAAAAAAGAAAGAAUUCAAACAACAGACAGGGUAGUCAAACAACAGACAGGGUAGCUACUGGUGGUGGUAAGUUUUUGCCCUUUUAUUUCCCCACAGUCCUCUUCUUCUGUUUUGUGUGCAUGUCCCUAUUUAACUGUGAGGAAAACACGUGUCACUCUGGUAGAAACUAGUAAUUCUAGAGUCACCAGAAAGACUGUAAUUCGAAUUUUCAAAUUCUAUGCUUCACCAAGACCUUUAUUCCCUCCCCCCAUUUCAUACUCGUGGAAAUUAUGAAGGGGAACUGCUUUCAACUCAUUCAUCAUCUGUUGCUAUGAGGUCAGGAGAAGUCUGGUUUUAAAGAUUAUAGAAUUUCAGUUGGAAGAAAUUCAAUUAAAAAUCAUGCUCUAUCUGCAACGGAUUUGCCAGGAGAAGAGUGCUCACCUCUUUCCUGUGAAAAGGUCUUGCUCUUGCCCUAUUUGACAAAACUAAAUUUUACUCUGAUGUCAGUUUUUAGAUGUAUAAAUAAGAUAUAAUGAAAUCCAUCCUUUAUUUUGGAUGCACAUUUCUGUGAGUUUUGACAAAUACAUACAGUCAGGCCCCCACCCCUCUUAUUUUGAAAAUAAGAUCAGGUCAUUUCCACCCUACCAAAAAGUCCCCUUGCAGACAUUUGUGAUCAAUUUUCUCUCCCCAUCUGCAGACUCUGGCAACCAGUGAUCUACAUUCUGCCCCUAUCAUUUUGCUGUCACCAGAAUAUCAAAUAAAUGAAAUAAUCCAGUAUUUAGUUUUGAGAGUUGGCUACUUUCAUAAGCCAAAUGCAUUUGAAAUUCAGUCAUCUUUAACCUGGCCUGUGACACCUGUUUCAACAAGAGAGUGAGAUCCUCGUUGAAGUGACCAGCUCCUGGAGUCCUACUGCCUAGGGGUGGACGGCCGGGUGAGCCAGUCCAUAUGGGAUUCAGGGAGAGGUUAACAAGGAAGAGUGAGAGGACAGGUGGACACGAUGGAGUGAGUGUGCCAGGAAGUAUCCUUACUCAGACACCCUGUGCCCUGGUGUCAAGGUUGAGCAGCUACCAUGCUCAACCACAGCAGGUGCCCAUUUCGGCCAGAGGAUCAGGACACAGGUUCCUAACUCUCAUUUCUGCAGAAAUGACUCCACUAGGAUUAAACCUGUGACAUACUCGGAUUAUAAGAUCACUGUUUCUCACAGUGUGAUUUCAGGACCAUCUACACCCCAGGCCACCGGGAGGUCAUGUAAUAUGCAGGUUCUGGACCCCCUUUGGGCGUGCUGAACCAGAAUGAAUGGGAAGAGAGCAAGUAAGUGUGUGGACUUGUGAUGAGCUUUCCAGGAGAGAGUUACAACACUCCAUGUUUUAGGUAUGACAGAUAUUGAUCUCCAAAGGACUUGGGUGGAGGGGAUAGAGGAAGAAAGGCAGCUGUGAGUUUGUAUCUAGCUCCUGCCUCUGAAGCUGAAGCUCAUGUCAUUGUGGAGGUAAAUUAAAUUAGCAGUGUCUCUGCAAAGGCAGAGAAUGGGAAGGGAGAACUCGUAUUGUGAACUAAUAUGUUAAUUGGUAAUAUAUUAUAAAGUUUAUACUAGAGAGAUAGAUGUAGAUAUAGAUAGAAAAAUAGUUGGCUAUAGGCAGAUGAUCAAACCCAGUGCCUCACACAUACUGUAGGCAGAGUAAUUUGUAUCAAUAUUAGAUUUAGUAAUUGUGGAAAUGAUAUAAUCAUCAGAACAAGAUUUUAAGUUUUCACUUAAAAUUUUGGAUUUUGUUUUGAAUAAAAUGCUUUAUUUCAUCAUUUGAUGUGGUAGCAGCAUCUUUAAAGAUAUGUAGUACAUUUACUAAGUUUUAUGUUAUAUGUAACAUUAAAAGCACUUGAGGAACUACAAUCUAAUAAUAAUAAUCUAGUACAUUAACUUUUUUUUUGGUACUGGAGAUUGAACCCAGGGACACUACCACGGAGCUACAUUCCCAGCCCAUUUUAUUUUUUAUACUGAGUCAGGGUCUCACUAAGUUGCUGAGGUUGGCCUUGAACUUGGGAUUCUGCUGUCUCAACCUAUGGGGUGUCUAGGAUCACAGGUGUGUGCCAACACUCCUGGCUCCUGAUCCAUUAAUUCUUUUUUUUUUAAAUUGUAAAUGGACAGAAUUACUUUAUGUAUGUAUAUAUUUUUAUGUGGUGCUGAGGAUCAAACCCAGUGCCUCACACAUGCUAGGCAAGUGCUCUGCCACUGAGCCACAACCGCAGCCCUGUGAUACAUCAAUUCUUAAUCAACACUCCUAAAGGUUAUUUCUUUGCAUUUCUCUCUUUGUCUGUUAAACAAUGCUUAUGUAUCAUAAAUUUGUUUCUGAUUUUUUAAUUCUACAUAUUUAAAGUGACUCUACAAUGACAGCUUAGUCUGUAAAUAUGAAUAAAAACGUGGGUAGAACUAGGCUGGGUGGAAUGAAAGAGCAAGCUAUUUUCAAUUUGAGUGCAAGGGCUAACUUGAAAAUACAAAUUGCAGGUCAUCAUUGUUGAAACAGCUAAAAGGAGCCGCAGACCAUUUUCUUUAGCCGCCAAAGCCAGAGCAAGUGGGAAGAAGACCUUUGCCCUCGGGACUGUUUUGUUUCUGUGUCCCACCCCAAACUCACCCCAAAUGAGAAACAGACCUCGGGGCUGUACCAGCAUUAUUUUAAGCCACGUGAAUGCACACAAGUGACUCAAGUGACUUUGGUUUGGUUUUGUUUUUGUGGCAGCGUAAAUUAACAAGGUGUCAAAUGAACAUCGUGGAGAAUCCACAGGCUCAGCUGGUCCUGGGGACGCCGCUGGCCUGCCUCCGAGGGCCAUCUGGUAAGAGCAUUUCCACGCUCCGCGGUCACCCGGCCUUGGUCUCCGGCGGCCCCCUACCCACUGGUCAUAUUGGCGACCUCUGCUUCCUCCCGAGUGUGGAGAAUCUGCCAUAAAGAAAGCGCGCGCUCAGCUGCAGAUUUUCUGGGCGCAGCGCUGCCCUGGUUUUGGAAGGCGCGCCUCUCCGUCUCCCCUGGGCAUGUGGAACAGCCGAAUGCAAGAGUGAAAACUGCCAAAAUGCUAAUCACGAUGAGAGAAAAAAAUAAAUAACACCAUCCAGAUGGGACAAAGUGGGCAUAUUUCAAGUAUCCUGGGGAACUGUGCAGUAUAUCAUUCGUGAUGCGUGGCACACCGCGCCACGGCCCUUCACAAACACACACUGCCCGGGCGUAUGCCUGCGGGGACAGGCGGAGCCGGCCGUAAAUCUGAGGGGGCCCUUCGCCCAGCUUUGCGCUCAGGCUGCGGCUGAUUCAGCGGGAUCCGGGCUGCAGUCUGCUCCCUUGGCUGCCCAUCAACUCUGCGGCUCACCCCACGGGGCAGAAUCCCAGCGGGCGAAUUCACCCCAGUGAAACUCAGAUGCUUUUCACAGCAAGGAAACUGCUGCUUUGAACGGGCCUCUGCUGCGCUGGGGAGCCACGUGCCAGGUGGCAAGGUUCCCCCAGGCCCCAGAAGGUGUCCUGGGGCUGCAGGGGCUGAGCAGGUUUGGGGUUUCCACACUCAGUUCUUACCCUCCGUCCAUCUCUGCUGAUUCGGGAGAGCGCCUGGGAUCCACUUUGCAACAAUAAAUUCAGGGGAUCUGAACAGUGGCACCAAGACACACGCUCCGGGAAACACUGAAAUCCACGAAUUACUAGGGAACUGUUUCCGUGAGUGUGGAAGAUAUUCCUCUGCAAAGAAUAUUUGUUUUUCAAUUGGCAUAUAAUAAAUGUCCCUAUUUAAGAGGCAGCAUGUGAUGUUUCAAUUCAUGCAUACCUUAUGUACUGUUCAAAUCAGGGUAAACAUCUACCUUCUCAAACAUUUAUCCUUAUAUUUGUGCUGGAAACAUUCAGAAUCCUUUCAUCUAGGUUUUUUGAAAUAUGCUGUGCAUUAUCUCUAAUAAUCUAUAAUCAUGCUCCAGUGUGACAGAACACUGAAGCAUACGUCUCUCUAGUUGUUUCUCGGUGCCCACUUGGAAGAUGUUUCUAAGAGUUAUUAUUCCUUCAGCUUUGUUCAGGCAGAACAUGGUCCUCCAUGAUAAGGAAUGUCAGUGUAAUGCCACAGAAUAUGACCCACCACAGGAGUAGAAGUACAGUGUGUUGAAAACCUUUAUGUGCCUUAAAAAACACUGUGCAUAAAGAGGUGUUUUUAAAUGAAGUCACUAAUAUGUGUGUGAUAUGGUAAAUGUUGAUAAUAUAUUAAAAUAUAUAUCAAUCAAAUGACAUAGUUUAAUUUUGUGAAGGAUAGAUAGCAGGACACCACGGUACCUAUGUGUACAUUCAUAUGAAAUUGUCUUAAGUCUCAGCAAACAGAGCAUGAUGAUCAUAUGGCACCAUGGUGUGUCCCUUUAACAUCAGUCUCUUUUAGCUUUUUUAGGUUGGUGUUGUCUUAGAAUUUUUUAUUAGCUAUUAUCAUAAUUCACCAUAGUAAAGCCAAAAUCAAGUCUUGUACCUCAUACAGACAAGAGUUGGAAAAAAUGAGACAGGAAUUGCCUCACAUCAUCCUUUAAGGGUUUGAAAUCAAGUUCCCAAAAGCUCUAAGAUGUAAGAAAUAAUAUCUUUUAAUUUUCCAUGCACUAAAUUAACUCCUACUUUGUGCCUAUAUCUUUGGGUAGAAAAAGCAAACUGCAGUCCAGUUAGUUUCCCUGAGCCCUUUCCUCUGAGUGGCUUUUCUGUUGAAGACCUUCUGUGGGACCGUGCAGGGGUUGGGAGCUGCCAUUCUUGGUUACCAUCACCAGGGGCUGGCAGCGGCUGAGCUGUAUUUCUGCCUGCUCCCUAGACUUCAACCCACCCAGGGAGCUGGGGCUGUGUCCUUUGUAUCCCACUGAGUUCCAGUCCCAGCUCUCUCCCUACGGUUGCCAUCCACCUGUGAGGGCCUGCCAAGGUUUGGCUGCUUUCCGUCACUGGGCUGGGACCUGGGAAACCCUGAACUCUCCUGGGCUAUGAAAAGCCCCUUGAAACUUCUUCAUUCCUCCAGGGUGUACAGGAAAUCCUUCCCAUAAAUGUGCAGAACUAGUCAGUUUCCUAGAAUGCUCUCUGGCUGGAGAAUACAAUUCUGUGCUUUUGGACUUCUAAACCAAUCUGGGAAUUCCAGUAUUCUCCUCAUCUCAAAUGGGCUCUGAGAAAGAGGACACGGUACAGGGAGGGACCUUCUCACACAUUUUUCUCUGUUUUUCUUCUUCAUUUUUUUCUAUUCUUCCUACCAUCCUCCCAUCUGGGAAUUUUACCUAAAGUCUAGGAGUUAAAAACAUGUCCCUGAGGUUGUGUUCUAGUACUCUUUCAAGUCUCUUUUCUUCUUAAGUCUUGGCUUUUGGUUUGACUUGGUUUGGAAAGUCAAAAGCAAGCUCUUGCCCCGUGAUCCUCAGCCUUGGGCCUCUGCUAAGGUGAGCUGGAAGGGGCGCCUGU
rnacentral:lncRNA from 1 species